rnacentral:lncRNA from 1 species
UAUAUCUGUAGUGUUUGGUCUUUUGUUAUGAUUGAUGAGCCUAGCACUUGUUUAUACAUAUUUGUGAUGCUAUUGCAGAAACUUUUGGUUACAUAAAUGAUUUACUGCUAUAUUCAGUUGGAAAUUGGAAAUGAACAUAUUCGUGAUGCUAUUCCAGAUAUUCUUGUUUUCUGUUAUGAUUGAUGAGCAACUUCUGUGAAUAUUCAUGAUGCUAGUCCUGAAUACUGUUGAUUACAUCAAUGAAGUAGCAUUUUCUUUUAUUGAUUUAUCCCUCUGUGCUAGUUUUUCUGACUGUCUACCUUCUAUGCAUCUAAGACUGCAAUUUACCAUGCAUCUAAGGCUGCUACUGUUGAUUGUUGCUUUUGUUAUGACUGUCUGUCUUUAUGAUGCAUCUAAGAUUGCAAUUGUUGUUGGUUGCUUUCCUGCUACUACUAGCUUUAGUAAUUUACUGCUGCAAGAAACUAUACAUAUCUUCUGUUAGAUUUGGUUAAGUUCAUUUAGAUAUCGUGCUGUAUGUUACUUUAUACUAGACUUGUAUUGAUGUUGCUGUCCACCUGUAUUUCAUUACAUAUUGGUUGCUAUUAUUUCAUUUUUUGUAUCUUAUAUGGUGUUUAUAAUAUGUUUCAUACCAUUUGUAGUUAGUAAUGUAUUUGUAUGCUGGUGCCUGCCCCUGAUUUGUUUUCCUUUGUUCUGUUACAGAUGGAUGCCACCACUCCCAAGUACUCCAAGGCCCGUUACGAUGAAAUCGUGAAGGAAGUCUCAUCCUACCUGAAGAAGGUCGGCUACAACCCUGACAAGAUUCCCUUCGUUCCCAUCUCUGGGUUUGAGGGUGACAACAUGAUUGAGAGGUCCACCAACCUUGACUGGUACAAGGGCCCCACCUUGCUUGAGGCUCUUGACCAGAUCAACGAGCCCAAGAGGCCAUCAGACAAGCCCCUGCGUCUUCCCCUUCAGGACGUGUACAAGAUCGGUGGUAUUGGCACCGUGCCUGUGGGUCGUGUUGAGACUGGAGUCCUCAAGCCUGGUAUGGUGGUGACCUUUGGUCCCAGCGGCCUGACCACUGAGGUCAAGUCGGUUGAGAUGCACCACGAGGCUCUCCAGGAGGCUCUUCCUGGUGACAACGUCGGGUUCAACGUGAAGAACGUUGCGGUGAAGGAUCUGAAGCGUGGGUACGUGGCCUCCAACUCCAAGGAUGACCCUGCCAAGGAGGCUGCCAGCUUCACCUCCCAGGUGAUCAUCAUGAACCACCCUGGCCAGAUCGGCAACGGCUACGCCCCAGUGCUGGACUGCCACACCUCCCACAUUGCCGUCAAGUUUGCUGAGCUGGUGACCAAGAUCGACAGACGAUCUGGUAAGGAGCUGGAGAAGGAGCCCAAGUUCCUCAAGAACGGUGAUGCUGGUAUGGUUAAGAUGAUUCCCACCAAGCCCAUGGUUGUGGAGACCUUCUCUGAGUACCCUCCUCUUGGUCGUUUUGCCGUGCGGGACAUGAGGCAAACGGUGGCUGUUGGCGUCAUCAAGAACGUGGAGAAGAAGGACCCAACCGGUGCCAAGGUGACCAAGGCUGCCGCCAAGAAGAAAUGAGCCUCGUUCAAGUGGUGCUUUCCAUAUCUGCAUUUGAGAUAUCUAGCUCUUUUAGUACUCGUUAAGUUUUGUCGACGGUCAUUUCAGUUGUUGCAUUGACCGUUAAUAUCUGCUCGCUUUGUGCACUAUGUCAGUCAUUUAAAACUCUAUUUUCUGUUCGGUUUAAACUUGGAUGUUAAGACUUAUUAUUGCCCUUCGACUGUUGUGGAAUGCGAGUAUACAUUGCUAAUUCCUUUGUCUUUAUUUUCGCUUGUGCUAUUCGCUGUUUCUGCUGCUAUUGGAUACUGGAUCGUCUUCCUGUUAAUGAAAAGUGAACUUUUUGAAAGGUAUUGAAAACUGAAAACCGAGUGGGUGUCGGUUUAGCAUAUUGUUUUGUUUAGUUCUUUCUGUCCCAUAAUUGUUUGGGUUGAAUUAUGAAUUGAUUGGGAUUUAAAUUUUUGAGAUUUUGUUUACCGGCCAAGCUACCGAAGUACUACAGGAUGAGGUGACACAUCUGACUGUUUACCGCUGAAAUUAUUCUCAUGGGUCGUGUGAUUUCUCCCGGAUGCCUAUAUAGGAAAUUGAGUUCAAUAAAAAACGAUAUUUAAUCAUUAGCGAAUGACUAAUUAAUUGUUAAUAAUUGUGACUUAAAAUAUAAAUUGGAGUAUGAUUUAAAAUAACUUUCUUUUUUAAAAAAAAAAACGAGCGAAAGGUUGCUUACAAACCUUCUUCCUCCUUUGUACCGGGCUAUACAGGCAUGGGAGAGGAACUAUGGACGAGGGCAUGACUCUAGUUGUGUGCUACCUCGGCGUCAGCAACACGAGAGGGAGAGCUCGUCAUCUUUAUAGGCCGAGGAGGUCGGUUACUGGGAAUGGAUAGAGGAAGAGGACGACUAUGCCGCGACGGGUCUAGUGAUGAUGAACCGAUGGCAACACCGGACAUCGGCCUUCAACUGGCCAACGACAUUUGUUUGUGCGGCGGCAAUGGCUUGCAGGUAACACGCAACUAGUGAGGUGUAGAAGGGAGUUGGAUUGGUGGAGGGAAGGAAAAAAGAAUGCAUGGGCCAAAUAUAAGGGAUUUCUGCCCAUAUUAAUAGGGACUUUGUAAUUUUUGAAGGGAUGGUUUGAAUAUGAUUUAAAAGAAAUGGGAUUUGGGAUAAAUUGUUUAGGGACUAUAUGAGUUUGGAGGAUGAAUUUAAAUAAGGUUUCAUGGGCUCUAGGGGUGUUUAUAUUAUUUUUGGAAUAGGGAUUCAAAGGAAUUUAACUUUAUGGCAAUGAUUGGAGGACUAGGACAAUAGGAUUAAAAAUAAACUAAGGGUUUUAUAAAAAAAAAUGAAAGAAAUUUAGAUGAGAGGCUUUAAAUAUUGAAAUAAAACAUUAAAUAUUUAGGUCAAAGAUAAUAAAAGAAGAUAAAAAGAAAACAAGAUGGCUCCAAUUUAAAUGAAAAUCAAGGAGGGUGAAAUAAAAACUUUUUCGCAUAAUUUUUUCUUAAAAUUUUGAGUACGUUACAGAGUAGGCCACACAUUCAGCUAGGUGUGGUAAAACUAAACCAAUUCACUAUGUGCGUGAUUGGAUUGAGCGGCAUGUGUGGCAAGCUACUUUAUGCCCCAUUCUUGAUGGGUCCUCACUUAUGCUUGCCCCAAGGCUUAACGGUUUCGGAGGCUUAGCAUGGCAAGCUCUCAAACAUACUCAGGCCCGGUUUAGUUUCAAACUUUGAACCCCAAAAACGUCACAUCGAACUUUUCUACACACACAAACUUUCAACUUUUUCGUCACAUCGUUCCAAUUUCAAUUAAACUUCUAAUUUUAGCGUGUAACUAAACACACCCUCAGCUCAUGGCGGGCCUUGCUAAGGGGUCGGCCCAUGGGCCGACGAAACUAGCAGAUAAAGGAGCUGCUAACAAAAGUUAUAAUAUCUAAUAGUGAUACGAAUCAAAUCUUCCCUUGGGCUUGGGUCAUCUGGUGUUUCAUGGAGCAAGUAUAAUAGGAGAACCGAGACUAAGGAAAGGGGGUUAGAUCAUAGGUGUUACACAUCCAGAUAACCAUAAAGCUUUAUAAUCCCGUGCGUUCACUUGAUCUAGCGAUUUAGGGGGGUUCCCUAACCUCAUACUUAUUCCUAACUACUCCCUCCGUUUCAGGUUAUAAAAUAUUUUGACUUUGUUCAAAGUCAAAAUGCUUUAAGUUUAAAAGUUUGUAGAAAAAAAGUAGUAACAUUUUCAACACAAGACAAAUUUAUUAUGAAAAUAUAUUCAAUUAUUGAUAUGAUGAUACUAAUUUAGUAUUAUAAAUAUUACUAUAUUUAUCUAUAAACUUAGUUAACCUUGAAAUAGUUUGACUUUAACCAAAGUUAAAAUGUCUUAUAACCUGAAACGAAGUAAGUAAUAACUGUCCGCUUAAACUCACUGAAUGGGGCCUUGGAUACUCCACAAUCCAGAUCAUUUUGCCCGACACCUUGGUCUCAAAACAACUAUAUAGACCGGUGCAAAGUGACUAUUUGCAACUAAACGCCCAUCUACUUGUUGCAAAUCUACUUCUCCCAAACAUCCUCCUCUAAAAAAAAUUUAAAUAUACUUAUCACUUGAGCGCUGCGAAACCUACAGAGACUUGAACGUAACGCAAACGUUUGAACAGGUCGACCGCAGGAUUAAAAUCGAACGGUCAAUACUGCCACGCAACAAUAACCACCAGACAAAGAUCGGACGGCCAGGAAGGAACCCUAGCACCCGUGGCUGCCUAUAUAAGAGGCAAUCCUCUCGCCCUAACCCCCUCCUCUCUCCCAUCUCAUCCCAGCCGCCGCCGCCGCAGCCUCCUCCUCUCGCCAUCUCCCGUCCUCUCCUUCAAGGUCAGCUUCAGAUCUUCUCACUUAUCCUUGUUUGCGCCUGUUCAUGAUCGUUCGUAGCUGCAGAUCUGGUUUGGUAUCGCGAGGUUUGGGUGAUUUGGUGCUUGGGCAUGUUGUUUUCGUUCAUUUUUUAUUGUGUAUUCGUCUCACUGCUGUGAUCUUAGUUUGAUGUCCGUUGACGCGAAGAUAAACUUGAUUUGUCCGCGAAUCAUGUGCGUAUGUUGGAAAUUAUCGGUAGAAUCGAACGAUAAACUUGAGUUACUGCAUAAUCAUCUACAUAAGUGGAAAACUACUGGUAGAAUCGGUAGAAAAUCUGUAUCUAGAAUCCAUAAUUUGUUGUUAAACUACUGCUGAGUAGAUGUUGUUAUUGUCCGUGCCCUGUUCAGUUGGGUACUGAAAUUCUGUAUCUAAAAUCCAAUCCGUAAAUUUGUUUCUGUAAAUUUGUUAUUGUGCUACUGCUGAGUAGAUGGUGUUAUUGUCUGUACCCUGUUCGGUUGUGUCGAUUACUGCGCGUCUGUGUAAAUCUCAUGCUGAUUUUGAUGGCUAUUAACGUUCUGUGGAUGUCCAAGUGAUCUGAUCUGAGAUCUUGCCUGUGAUAUUUAUUUGGAGUUAAAAAUUAUACAGAAAAUUGUUUCUAAUCUUUGUUUUAUUACGUAGAACAGUCAGCUACCUGCUUAAUCAACCAUGGGUAAGGAGAAGACGCACAUCAACAUUGUGGUCAUUGGCCACGUCGACUCUGGCAAGUCGACCACCACGGGCCAUCUGAUCUACAAGCUUGGAGGUAUCGACAAGCGUGUGAUUGAGAGGUUCGAGAAGGAAGCCGCUGAGAUGAACAAGAGGUCCUUCAAGUACGCGUGGGUGCUCGACAAGCUCAAGGCCGAGCGUGAGAGAGGUAUCACCAUCGAUAUUGCCCUGUGGAAGUUCGAGACCACCAAGUACUACUGCACGGUCAUCGAUGCCCCUGGUCACCGUGACUUCAUCAAGAACAUGAUCACGGGUACCUCCCAGGCUGACUGUGCCGUGCUCAUCAUUGACUCCACCACUGGUGGUUUUGAGGCUGGUAUCUCCAAGGAUGGCCAGACCCGUGAGCACGCUCUUCUUGCUUUCACUCUUGGUGUGAAGCAGAUGAUCUGCUGCUGCAACAAGGUAUAUAUCUCUAGUGUUUUUUCUUCUGUUAUGAUUGAUGAGUCUAGCACUUGUUUGUUCACAUUCGUGAUGCUAUUCUAGAUACAAUGAAGUAGCAUAAUAUGUUUUAUUCACUAUGCAUCUAAUACUUCAAUGUUUGAUUCUUGCAAGCAUAUCUGUCUUUUAUGAUUGAUCUGCACAGCACUUCUGUACAUAUUCAUGACGCUUGUCCUGAAUACUCUUGAUUACAUCAAUGAAGUAGCUUUCAUUUGAACGUCUAGUUGUUUGUUACUUUAUACUAAACAUCUAUUUGAUUGGUUUAAGUUAUAUUUUAAAUUAUCUGGUUGUGGUGUUGUACUUCAUUUUGUCAUUUUUAUCCUGCUGGAAGUUGCAGCCCCUGUCCUGUUUCAUUACAUCUUAUCUGGUCACUGUGUAUCUUAUAUGCUGUUAAGUACCUUUUGAUACUCCUACAUCUGGUCCCUGCUCUUGUAUAUCUUAUAUGCUGUUUUAAGUAUUGUUUCAUAUGAUCAUAUCUUGUAUGGUUAUCUUUGUUUGGUUGCCAACCGACCCCCUGCUGAGGAAAGUUAUUGAUUUGUUUUCCUUUGUUCUGUUACAGAUGGAUGCCACCACUCCCAAGUACUCCAAGGCCCGUUACGAUGAAAUCGUGAAGGAAGUCUCAUCCUACCUGAAGAAGGUCGGCUACAACCCUGACAAGAUUCCCUUCGUUCCCAUCUCUGGGUUUGAGGGUGACAACAUGAUUGAGAGGUCCACCAACCUUGACUGGUACAAGGGCCCCACCUUGCUUGAGGCUCUUGACCAGAUCAACGAGCCCAAGAGGCCAUCAGACAAGCCCCUGCGUCUUCCCCUUCAGGACGUGUACAAGAUCGGUGGUAUUGGCACCGUGCCUGUGGGUCGUGUUGAGACUGGAGUCCUCAAGCCUGGUAUGGUGGUGACCUUUGGUCCCAGCGGCCUGACCACUGAGGUCAAGUCGGUUGAGAUGCACCACGAGGCUCUCCAGGAGGCUCUUCCUGGUGACAACGUCGGGUUCAACGUGAAGAACGUUGCGGUGAAGGAUCUGAAGCGUGGGUACGUGGCCUCCAACUCCAAGGAUGACCCUGCCAAGGAGGCUGCCAGCUUCACCUCCCAGGUGAUCAUCAUGAACCACCCUGGCCAGAUCGGCAACGGCUACGCCCCAGUGCUGGACUGCCACACCUCCCACAUUGCCGUCAAGUUUGCUGAGCUGGUGACCAAGAUCGACAGACGAUCUGGUAAGGAGCUGGAGAAGGAGCCCAAGUUCCUCAAGAACGGUGAUGCUGGUAUGGUUAAGAUGAUUCCCACCAAGCCCAUGGUUGUGGAGACCUUCUCUGAGUACCCUCCUCUUGGUCGUUUUGCCGUGCGUGACAUGAGGCAAACGGUGGCUGUUGGCGUCAUCAAGAACGUGGAGAAGAAGGACCCAACCGGUGCCAAGGUGACCAAGGCUGCCGCCAAGAAGAAAUGAUCCUCGUUCAAGUGGUAGUUUUGUGCACGGCCAUGGCACUCGUUGCAUUGACCGUUAUUAUCAUAUGCUCGCUGUGUGCACUGUGUCGUUUAAAACUCUCUAUUUUCUGUUCGGUUUAAACUUGUUCUGAGCCUGAUUAUUGCCCUUCGGCUGUUGUGGAAUGCGGGUAUUUACAUUGCUAAUUCCUAUGUCUUUAUUUUGGCUUGUGGCAUUCGCUUGUUCUACUGCUAUUGAAAACUGUAAUCUGUUUCUGUUAUUAAAAACUGAACCUUUUCUUCUGCUAUUUGAAACUGAAGCGAGUGGGUUUCAAUUUGCUGAAAUCCUGCUACUUGCUAUUUAAAUUAUUUAUGUUCAAUUUCGUUCAGUCCCAUAUUUGUUGGAUUGAGUGAAAAACUGACUACUCUGGUUUCGCUUGAAUUAUGGAACUGAUACGAUAGCACACCGUUUCAAUUUCUCCGGUUAAGUUCUUUCAUUAACAGUUUAACUCUGAAAUUAGUUCCGUUAUUACAAUGAUAACUUUUGAUGAAAACAAACUUUUGCUCCCUUCUUGGUAAUGUUUCGGGACCGUGAGAAUCCACUCAAUACAACAAACUUUUGUUAAAGUAAAAUGGUGGAUUCGACUGAUUUAAUUUCAUCUCUAAAAUGGAUGAAUUCUUCAAGAUAGGUUUGGAGUAGUUGGUAUUGACCUUUGAUGAAUUUAGGUCAAGGAAUUUCUAUUUUUAUCACUCUGUAUUUGCGAGAUAUAAAUUUACAAGAUCUAUAUGAAUGUCAAACUAUUUAAGCUCUAUUUAAAUUUAGAUAUGGUUUAUGUCCAAGUUCUGUUGAAUUUCAACGAUAACUGCAUAGAGUAUGAUUUCCCUAAGGUGCCUAAUUUUGUGAUUCUAACAAGUUCUAUUUCAGCUCAUUUUGGAGCUGGCAUCUAUUUACUUUUAAUUUUACAAGUUUUAGAUAAAAAUUAGGAUAUUUAUAUGCUACAUAGUUUUUAGAGGUGUCCUAUGUAGCAUAAGUGCCAGAUUCUAAUCUACAGUUAUAAAGAGUAGCCGUAACAAAAUUUGGUUGUUCUUAAUUAGAACUUAGGAUGAAUUCCUUGCGAGUAUUACAAGGCUCUGUUCGCAAGAAAAGGUUUCCAACUCAAACAUUACGUAUGGAAAACGGAACAGUCUAUUAGCACGUAAUUAAUUAAGUAUUUACUAUUUUUUUAAAAAAAUAGAUCAAUAUGAUUUUUUUAAGCAACUUUCAUAAAGAGACUUUUUUUUUAUAAAAAAAACGCACCAAUUUAACAGUUUGAAAAGCGUGCGCACGAAAAACGAGAGUAGGGAGUUGGGAAACAGCUCUUGCAAAUAGAACCUAAGUCUCGGUACAUAUUAUAGUAAUUAUUUACUACACAGUACUUAGAGGGAUUUCCCAUACCGAAAGUGCAUAAUUUUAGUUUACAAUAUUAACAAGCACAAUUUGUUUAAUCUACUGAGAUUUGAUUCAUCCUAUUUGGAGCUAAAAUGAAAUUUCUAUCAAUAUAUAGGCUGAACAUAUUUUUCAGCUGAACAAUUAAAGCUUUAGCUACUUUCAUUAUAUUUUCCAGAUUUUAAAAACAUCGGUCCACCUGUAAGUGAGAGCCAAUAUGCAAAAAUGCCCCUGGUUUUCACGAGGAGUCAACUUUGCACUCCCUCACGUAGUCACGUAUCUAUGCCAGGUUUUAAAAGGAGUCCCUAUCUUCUUUUUUAUAUCUAGGGGGUAUUUAGAUCCAGGGUGUAAAUUUUUGGUGUGUCAUAUCGGUAUUAUAUAGGGUGUCGCAUGGGGUAUUCGGGCACUAACAAGAAAAACUAAUUACAUAAUCCGUCAGUAAACAACGAGACGAAUUUAUUAAACCUAAUUAAUCUGUCAUUAGCAAAUGUUUACCGUAGCACCACAUUGUCAAAUCAUGAAGCAAUAAGGCUUAAAAUAUUCGUCUCGCAAUUUAGUCGCAAUCUGUGCAAUUAGUUGUUUUGUUAGCUUAUAUUUAAUACUUCAUGCAAGUGUUCAAACGUUCGAUUUGACAUAGUGUAAAAUUUUGAGUUAAUCAGAUCCAUGCUAUUACAAAUUUAUCUAUUCAGAAAAAUACCACUACAAUUCGUAUAUUUAUAGCCGUGACACUGAAAUUUUAUAAAAUUAGAACCGUGCCACUACCGUAACGUUUUCCUUCCAUCUCCUUUGUUUUCCGUCUUUCUUCCUUCUUGUUCUCAACGACCUCAGCUGUUCUUGUGCUCAUCAUCCCAACCAUUAUUCCUUCUCCAAAAUUGUGAGCCCAAAUCCGACAUGAAGACAAAGCCAAGGCCGCCAUCCUCUGUCGGCACGACACGAAACCCACACACCUCAAAGGGGCGGAGGCGAAGCCGAGGCGACGCGGCGCGGUGGCGAUGACGUUGGGGAGAGGGCUCCGGCGAGCUCGGUGCCUCGGUGGAGACCGAGAUCUCUCUUCGCAACGGGGAGAUGCUGAGGACGAAGACCCCACGGCCGCGUGGUGGCAAGUCCCAUCGCGCCACGGCUGCGGCAGGGGUGCGCGGGGAAGGGGAGGUCAUCAUCAGGGGAGCUGUCGCUGCAGCAUGAGCAUGUCUCACUCUUCUCCUUCCUCGUCGAUUCCCUCGCGAAGGCGCCGCUGCGGUGGGCGGCGCGCCCACCGGCAUACUACCACGCACUCCGCACCUGCUUGUUAUCAUGUCGUCGACGUCCCAGAAGGCGGAGCGGCGACGGCGGCACGACAAAGAAGAACGUGAGUUAGUCAGUGGCGUGCGAGUGUGAUAGGGGAGCGCCUGCAUUGUGGUGCUGCCAUGCCGCUGCAGGGGGGAGGUGCAGGUCCACGGGGGCCGCUGCCGUGCCGAGGACGACGCCCUGCCCACCACGCGGACGCCGUUGAGGAAGAAGAGCUCGCCCUCGCCGGCCAUCUCCAUGUCCUCCACGAGUAGCUCGUCAUCCUUCACACCCUUCGAGGAGCUGCAACCGCCUUUGCCUCUACCUAUGUUGCAGCCGCUGGCCACGCCAAUGGACGCUGACAAGGUCGUGGAGGAGAAGGAUUGUGGCAUCCCUGGUGUUCUUGGUGCUGUGGAUUUCGAUCUGAACGAGCAGAGGCUAGUUGUGAUUAAUGUGCCCAUGGCUGUAAGUGAUGCCGAAGAGGUGCGCAUCACGGCGGCGGUGGUGGUGGGCGCAAAAGCGACAGAGGAAGGCGCGGUCGGCAGUGACGAGGCGGCGCUAACGCGUGCAAACAGCCGCGGCAGGAGGCGGGGGAGUAUCUCAGGAGAAGAAGACGGGAGAAAGAAGGAAGAAACGGAAAAGGAAGGGUAGGGGUGGGCGUUCGGUCAGACCGAAAAAUUCGGUCUCAGUCUUCGGUCUUUUGGCCAUUUCGGUCUUUGAAAACUCGAGACCGAAUUUUAUCCAAAAAAAUCUCAGGACCGGCAAAUUUGGUCUCGGUUUUUUCGGUCUUUCUCGGUCAGACCGAUUCUUUUCCGGAGAUGGAUGCGGCCGACGGGAUGGAGGCUGGCUAGAGGAGGCGGCCCGCGCGGCGCCGGCGUGGUGGAGGCUGGAGGCGGCCCGCGCGGCGCAGUGGAGGACUGGAGGGCGGAGGCGGCGAGGCGGCGCUGGCGCCGGCGCGGUGGACGGCGGAGGCGGGAGGCAGCGCCGGCGCGGUGGACGGCCGAGGCGGAGGCAGAAGGCGGAGGCGGCGAGGCGGCGCCGGCGCGGUGGAGAGGCGGCGCCGGCGCAGUCGAGGGCGGAGGUGGCGAGCGUGACACGAUGGCCGAUGGGGAUGGGAGGCGGCGCCGCGUGAGGGAGUGGGAGGGAGUGGCUGUGUGGUAUUGGUUGCCUCUAGGGUUUAGUUUGUUGGGCUUAUUGGGCCUCCUAGGUCUAUUGGGCCACAAUUCGGUUUUCUCGGUUAAUUCGGUUAACCGAGGGUAAUGACCGAAUUACCCGAAUAAAUUUCGGUCUUUCAAUGGCUGAGAUAGAACUACUAACCGAAUUUCUCGGUCUCGGUCUUUUCGGUCUCGAUCUCGGUCUUUUCGGUUCGGUUCUUCAGUUCGGUCUUAUUUUGCCCACCCCUAAGGAAGGAGAUAGAUGGAAAACGUGACAGCGAUGGCACGGUUUUAAUUUUAUAAAAUUAGAGUGGCACGACUACAAAUAAAUAAAUUGUAUUGAUAUUUUUCUGAAUAGGUAAAUUUACAAUGGCAUAGAUUGAAUUAACCUAAAAUUUUUAUGUGAAAACUAAACAGGGCCUUACUACCCAAGUCCAUGUCCCUUAUUUUAUAUAACUCCAAGAUGGCCGCGGGACCGCGGCACUGGAACAGCUUGGUGGUGGCGAACUUCAGCAAACGGUGACGACGGUGUUCGGCCCACGAGCUACCAAACCAAUACGUGCAAGUGCUCCGUGGGAUCCUAUGGACGCUUACUGUUUGUACAGUGAUUGACGCCUUGACAGCGACGUUUGACGACGGGAGCAGAGGAUAGACAGACAAAUGUGACACAACUUAGUACAUAACUAGAUUUAUUAUACAGUAUAUAUCAUGUCUGAUACUAGUGGAUCGGUUUUUUAUGAGACGGAGGGAGUAUGUGGUUUAGGAGGUGAGUCAGUUUUAGGAUUAAAUUACUUUUGGUUCCAACAUGUAAUAAGGAUAAAUAAGAGGCGGGUCAACUUCCAAGAGUUGAAUAAGUAGUUUUUUCUUUUGUGUUACCAAUUUGACACAUUCGAAAAUACGGAAACUAAGGUUAAUGUUUGGAGUGCAAUCGAUAGUACUUUAUCUACCGAGUUUUAAUAUGGAAAUCCAAAUUGUCGUUAGGGUUGACCUAACCGUUAUUUUUGAGUUUGCAAAUAUUGGGAUACGGUGUAACUUGCUAUAAUGUCUUGCUGAGAAUAAAUUCAACAAUCACUCACUCUCAUAAUUGGGGCUCUCGCUCUCUCUAGAAAGCUCAAGAGCGUCUUCUCAAGCGAAAAGAAAAAAACUUCCCCUUCCGCCCAGCCCCUUUCCUUCCAUUCCCGAUGGCUUUUCGGUCGCCGGCGAGGGAGGGAGAUGGUCUAGCUCCUUUCUUCGCUAGUAGGCUUAGAUUUAGUCUUCUUUGAUAGUCGGGUUAACCCCAUUUUGUAUAGCUUGAGGGGGUCAUCGGCGUCCGACUCCUUCAUUCUGGUUGCUUCUGCCAUGGAUGUCCUCGUCGACUUCUUCUCCGGUGAAGGUUCCCUGUCAAUCGUUUUACAGGUUCACCAUCAACGCCCGAAGCUAAGAGUGUGGUGGGUUUGCUCAAAAGAAGGUAGCGCCGACCACUUGCUUCUUCUUGGGCGAGCUUUCCGCAACUGCGUUGUUCUUCUUCCUAGUCUUCGGCGUCAGCUUUAGAAGUGUGGAUGAUGUGUUUCUCCGUUUGCCUUGGAUGCUUCAACCUCCAUAGAGAGGCCUCUUUUGGGUUUGCAUCUAGGCAUCAUUAUUUUUUUUUAGAAUUACACAGUACAACGCAAACACUCAUAACGCACGCACGCAAACCUUACCCCUAUGAGCAUCUUCGAAUACUGGGCCAGCAAAUUCUUGAGAUUGACAAAGUCACCACCAUCUAGGCAUCAUUACAUGCAGCUAGCCAAGGAUUAUCAGCUCCGGUCGUCGUUCAGUGCGUCGAUCUGGUCAUCGUUGUUGUGGACAUGGCAAAGAGAAUAACCCGAUUACCUUUUCUGUUUCUUUCUAGGUCCUUUCUUGCAUAUUUCAGGGUUAAAGUGUAAUUUGCCCAUCUGUCAGGGGCCUCUAUGUAAGAUUUGCUGUACUCUUAGCUUGCUUAAUAAAAACCUGAAAUGAUAAAUUCAACAAUGCCUUCGUCGUAAGACCAUAUGCAAGUAAGUGCCUAUAUGCACGGAGUUGGAUAGAGUGAUAGACAACGCUGACUUCUAAUAACUAUUGCGGGUGGAAGCUAUCAAUUUUAGUGUACUGAGUUUUGUUUCAAAUUGUGUUCACGCAAGGAAUUUUCAUAGAGAUUGAUCAUACUUGUUUUACCUGGCCUUAAUCUUCAUUUUGAAGUAUUUUAAUUUACCCCAUAUUCUUUGAGUAUGCACUAGCUAGUUGAAGCUUGUUUUUAUUUUAGGGUUAAUUGGAUCCAUUCCAUUGCAACUUUGACAAAUUAAAAAAAAAUUGUCACUACUAUUCGUCAUAUCGGUUACAUAUCACUAUAAAUCUCUAAAAUUGGAACCAUGCAACUCUCGUCAAUUUUUCUGCCCUCAUCGACCCGCCCCCCUCCCUCCACGAAAGAAGGCGCAUCUGCUGACUGCUGGGCACCUUCGCCACUUGCCGAGAUGGUUGCGCGCGUCAAACGUGUUGGCGAGGACGUAUGUCGGGAGCUCGCCACCGCCGUCGGCGCCGCAUUCGAGUGUGUCAAUGAGUUACACAAACUUGGAGAGCACAAAGGCGAAGGGGUCAUCAUCGGAGGUGAUGGCGAGGAAGGACGGGAUGUCGCGGAAGCGUAGCAGCGAGAGCCCCGAGAGGCUCACCUCGGCAAACGCGUCCCUUGAUGCGGCCGCCGCCAAGAGGGCGUCGCGUCGGCCACGGAAGUAGUGGUAGUACGCGGCCAGCGUGGUGGUUGACUGGAACUAGAACACGGCGAUGGCAACCACUCUAUGGUUGUGUGCGACGUCAGCUGCUGCGGUGCACGACGGGGCGGCCACCGCCAUCACCAUCGCCGAGAUUCGGCAUCGUUGGCGCGCCAGGCGGUCGUUGCUCAUCGCGCUCGUCUCCCUUCUUAGGGCGGCACCUAACACCUGCGCCACCAAGGACAUGCUCGCCGACCUCUCCCGCCACCAAGGAAGCCGGCGUCAGGGACGACACUACCACCGUAGUCGUCCUCGCCGGAUCCUUGCUCUGCCGACGCCCUCCACCUGCUCGCCGUCGACGCCGCCCUCGCCAUCUUCAAUCCGGCUAACCCGGACCUCCUCGAUCUCCGCGGCAGGGGCGGUGAGGCAGACCCGGUGCCGCCAAGCGCUUCGUGCCAUUCCAUUGCGAGGGUAGGGACAACGACGGUUGCGGUGGUGCUCGGAGGGGAUGGCGGCGGCUGCACUGUGCGGAGGAAGAAGAAGAGGCGGUGUGGCUGGCUGGCGCAUGAAGGAGGCGCGCUCGGAGGGGUCGGCGGUGGCUGCGCCGCAAGGCUGAAGUAGAAGCGGCGACUACGGCGGGCGGAGGAACGGUAGCGCCGGCAGGCGGAAGGAGGAAGCGGCGGCGGUUGCUGCUCCAUGUGCAUCUUCAUGAUAGGACGAAGACGGUGAUGCUACGGAGUGGCACGGUUCUAAUUUUAGAAAAUUGUAGUGAUAUAUGUCCGAUUUCGUGAAUAAUAGUUGUAUUUUUCUAAUACGGUAUAUUUGCAGUGGCAUGGAUUCAAUUAACCCAUUUUAUAAAAAAAAGACUGUAAUAUAUUACUUUCUGAAAGCAUUUUAAGUAUUUUAUUGCAAGCUAAAUUUCAAAAUUCUCAAUUUGGAUAAUUGGGAAAAAAAUGUUUGAAUUAGGCCAUUAGGGUACCUACUUGCGCUCUGCGAAACCUCCAGCGACGUAAACGUAACGCAAUCGUUUGAACAUGCUGUUACCGCAGGAUUAAAAUGGAACGGUCGAUACUGCCACGCAAGAGCAACCAUCAGAAAAAGAUCGGACGGCCAGGAAGGAACCCUAGCACCCGUGUCUGCCUAUAUAAGAGGCAACACGGCCCAAACCCUCGUUUCUCCCGUCUCACCCUAGCCGCCGCCGCCUCCUCCUCCUCUCGCCUUCUCCCGUCUUCUCCUUCGAGGUCAGCUUCCGAUCUUCUCUCUUCUCCAUGUUUGCGCCUGUUCAUGAUCGUUCGUAGCUGCAGAUCUGGUUUGGUACCGCGAGGUUUGGGUGAUUUGGUUCUUGGGCAUGUUGUUUUCGUUCAUUUUUUAGUAUUUUUUUGUGUGUAUUCGUCUCACUGCUAUGAUCUUAGUUUGCUGUUCGUUGAAGCGACAAUAAACUUGAUUUGUCCGCGAAUCAUCUGCAUAGGUUGAAAAUUAUCGGUAGAAUCGAACGAUAAACUUGAUUUGAUGUGGAAUAAUCUACAUAAGUUGAAAAUUGUCGGUAGAAUCAGUAGAAGGAUUUGUAUCUACAAUCCGUUCGCUUAGAUCUCUUCCUAUGUUUCUGUAUUUUUUUAUUCUACUACGGCUGAUUAGAUGCUGUUAUAGUCUGUAGCCUGUUCGGUCCGGUCGAUUACUGCGCGUCUGUGUUAUUCUCCUGCCGAUUAACUGAUUUAGCACUUUGAUAGUUGUCGAAGUUUGAAUUAGGUACCUACUUUGAUAGAUGCCCAACUUUUUUGUGUGUAUUCGUCUCACUACUAUGAUAUUCGUCUGCUGUUCGCUGACGCGAAGAUAAACUUGAUUUGUUGGUCAAUCGGUAGAAUUGGAUGAUGAACUUGAUUUGUUGCAUAAUCUAGACAAGUUGAAAAAUAUCGGUUGAAUUGUUGGAAGAUUUGUGUCUAUAAUCCGUUUGCAUAGACCUAGAGCUUAGUUUCUGUUCUGUUUUUUAUUCUACUACUGCUGCUGAGUAGAUGCUGUUAUCGUCUCUACCUGUUUCAAUUGGGUUUAUUACUGUCCGUCUGUGUAAUUCCUUCACUGAUUUUGAUGCCCAUUAACUAUGUUAGCACUUUGUUAGAUUAAGUAACCUGAUCUGUGAGCUUACCUGUAAUAUUUAUUUGUUUCUAAUCUUUGUUUCAUUCUAUGCCGCAGUUAGCUACCUCCUUAUUCAACCAUGGGUAAGGAGAAGACGCACAUCAACAUCGUGGUCAUUGGCCACGUCGACUCCGGCAAGUCGACCACCACGGGCCAUCUGAUUUACAAGCUUGGAGGUAUCGACAAGCGUGUGAUCGAGAGGUUCGAGAAGGAAGCCGCUGAGAUGAACAAGAGGUCCUUCAAGUACGCGUGGGUGCUUGACAAGCUCAAGGCCGAGCGUGAGAGAGGUAUCACCAUCGAUAUUGCCCUGUGGAAGUUCGAGACCACCAAGUACUACUGCACGGUCAUCGAUGCCCCUGGUCACCGUGACUUCAUCAAGAACAUGAUCACGGGUACCUCCCAGGCUGACUGUGCCGUGCUCAUCAUUGACUCCACCACUGGUGGUUUUGAGGCUGGUAUCUCCAAGGAUGGCCAGACCCGUGAGCACGCUCUUCUUGCUUUCACUCUUGGAGUGAAGCAGAUGAUCUGCUGCUGCAACAAGGUAUAUCUCUAGUGUUCGGUCUUUUGUUAUGAUUGAUUAGCCUUGCACAAGUAGCAUAAUCUGUUUUCUUCACUAUGCAUCUAAUACUUCAAUUGUUGAUGCUUGCAUCUCUCUACUGUUUGUCUUAUUUUAUUAUUGAUCUGCACAGCACUUCUGUACAUAUUCAUGAUGCUAGUCCUGAAUACUGUUGAUUACAACAAUGAAGUAGCAUUAUGUUUGUAUGGAUUUAUCCCUAUAUUUGCUUUUUUUUUAUCUUCACUACGCUUUUGCGCAUCUUCUAAGACUGCAAUUAUUGUUGUUUGCUUUUGUUAUUACUGUCUGUCUUCACUAUGAAUCCAAGAGUGGAAUUGCUGAUGGUUGCUGUCCUGCUACUACUAGCAUUAGUGAUUUACCUGUUCAUUCAGAUAUCUAGUUGUUUUUUACUUUAUGCUAGACUUCUAUUGAAGUUGCAGCUUGCCCCUGUUUCAUUACAUCUUAUAUCUGGUCACUACUUUUUUGUGUAUCUUAGAUGCUAGUAUUAAUUUUUUUUGUUUCAUAUCAUGUAUAGUUAGUUAUCUGUGUUUGUUUGCUAGUCCCUGCCCCUAAUUCGUUUGCUUAUUUCUGUUACAGAUGGAUGCCACCACUCCCAAGUACUCCAAGGCCCGUUAUGAUGAAAUCGUGAAGGAAGUCUCAUCCUACCUGAAGAAGGUCGGCUACAAUCCUGACAAGAUUCCCUUCGUUCCCAUCUCUGGGUUUGAGGGUGACAACAUGAUUGAGAGGUCCACCAACCUUGACUGGUACAAGGGCCCCACCUUGCUUGAGGCUCUUGACCAGAUCAACGAGCCCAAGAGGCCAUCAGACAAGCCCCUGCGUCUUCCCCUUCAGGACGUGUACAAGAUCGGUGGUAUUGGCACCGUGCCUGUGGGUCGUGUUGAGACUGGAGUCCUCAAGCCUGGUAUGGUGGUGACCUUUGGUCCCAGUGGCCUGACCACUGAGGUCAAGUCGGUUGAGAUGCACCACGAGGCUCUCCAGGAGGCUCUUCCUGGUGACAACGUCGGGUUCAACGUGAAGAACGUUGCGGUGAAGGAUCUGAAGCGUGGGUACGUGGCCUCCAACUCCAAGGAUGACCCUGCCAAGGAGGCUGCCAGCUUCACCUCCCAGGUGAUCAUCAUGAACCACCCUGGGCAGAUCGGUAACGGCUAUGCUCCAGUGCUGGACUGCCACACCUCCCACAUUGCUGUCAAGUUUGCUGAGCUGGUGACCAAGAUUGACAGACGAUCUGGCAAGGAGCUGGAGAAGGAGCCCAAGUUCUUGAAGAACGGUGAUGCUGGUAUGGUCAAGAUGAUUCCUACCAAGCCCAUGGUUGUGGAGACCUUCUCUGAGUACCCUCCUCUUGGUCGUUUUGCGGUGCGUGACAUGAGGCAAACGGUGGCUGUUGGCGUCAUCAAGAACGUGGAGAAGAAGGACCCAACCGGUGCCAAGGUGACCAAGGCUGCCGCCAAGAAGAAGUGAGCCUCGUUCAAAUGGUGGUUUGCAUGUCUGCAGUUGAGAUAUCUAGUUCUAGUAUUUGUUAAGUUUUGCCCACGGCCAUGGCUCUCGUUUCAUGGACCGUUAAUAUCUGCUCGCAAUGUGCACUAUGUCAGUCGUUUAAUACUCGUUUAUUUCUGUUCGGUUAAAACUGAUGCUCUGAGUCCGAUUAUUGUCCAUCGGCUGUUUUGGAAUGCGAGUAUUUACAUUGCUACUUCCUGUGUCGUUAUUUUCGUUUGUGCUAUUCCCUGCUUUUGCUGCUAUUGAUAACUGGAAACUGUCUCUGUCAUUGAAUCUCAGACAAGUUUUCUGCUAUUGGAAACUGAAAGCCUAAUGGAUUUCAAUUAUGAUGAUUGCUUUUUCUGCAACUGCCACCUAAAUUGUUUAUGUUGAAGUUCGUUCGGUCCCAUAUUUGUUAGAAAAGGGUCGGGGCCUCGGGGGUUUGCUUGAAUGAUGAACUGGUCGGAACUUGUAGUGCUUCAAUUGUUGUGAUUUUGUUUCCAACAGGAUGUUUACAGCCUUUUUAAAUUGAGAAAUUAGCCUCUCAAACAAUCUAAUCUGAAAACCUUUUAAAUUAAGAACUUAGCCUCUCAAACAAUCUAAUCUGAAAAUUUGAUCCUACUAUGGGAGGCUAUAUGUCCUUUCGUAAGAUGUAGAUUGAACUUUUGUCAUAUACAGGGUAUGAAGUAUCAGAUGGAACAACGUAGAUUGAACUCAAGUCCUUGAUUUUAACUCUAAAGAUCAAUUAAUUCAGUCCACUCAAAAUGCUGAUAAUGGAAUAACCCUCCUGGGAAUAGAUGUUUUGUUGAUGCUUCUUGGAAAGAUCAAUUAGGAUUUGGAAUGUUUUUGCAUGAUCCACAGACUCGUAAAGCGAUUUGUGUCCAAGCUAGUUCAAUACUUUAUACUAAUGCUCUCCAAGCAGAACUUGCAAGUAUAUACUUAGCCAUUGGCGUAUGCAGAAUGCUUAACAUUGCAGGUAUGGUUAUGCUUUCUGAUAAUUUGCCUCUAGUGAAGCUCCUUCGUCAAAGGAAUUUUGCUUCCCAGCCACAUCACUGGAGUCUUCAUCCUCUGCUUCUGAAAUUGCAAGAUUUUACUCAAGGAAAAUCAAUUAGCAUGGUCUGGAACUCUGGAUAUAAAGAAAUCUAAACAAGAUGGCAGAUUUUUAGAAAAAGGGCAAGAGAAGCAAAUGCUCGUCAAUCUGUCCAACUAGUUUGUCAAAAUGUAUGACAUGUCUCGCUUCAAAGUAGCUGUGCUACUACGGCAGCUCUUCAAUCAGCUUUUAUAGCUGACGAUGUACAACUGAUUCAUGUACUGUGCUUCUAAGUUUCCAAUAAACUUUGUUCUAAAAAAAACAUAGAUUGAACUUUUGUCAGAUAUUGUUCUUAAAAAAAAAACUUCUGUCAGAUAUUGAGGACACACGUCUGAAGUAGUAUCAGAUAGCACACCGUUUCCACUUCUGUUAAGCCCUUUCAUUAGCUCUGAAAUUAGUUCCAUUGCUGCUAUUACAAUAAUAACUUUUCAUGAGAAAGUAAUCAAUCUAUUUAACCUUAGCCCCCAUCUUGAUGAAGUUUGGGGGCCGUGAGAAUCCACUUUCCGGGUGAUUUCAGCUGUAUGCGUCUGUAAGUAUAUAUGAACUGUACAAUACAACAAAUAUUGUUAACAGAAAAAAAAAAGGGGCUAACCUGCUUAAACCUAUAUACGGGUGGACGGUUGAGCCAUAGUUGUUGGUCCCUAAUAUGAUCAUGUCCAUACUUAGACUGUGUUCUUUCCUAGGUGAUCUAGGUGAUUAUGAGUGAGUUUUGUUUCGUUUUCCGCGCGCACGUUUCCCGAACUUCUAAAUGGUGCGUUUUUUGCAAAAAAAAAAUCUAUAGGAAAGUUGCUUUAAAAAAUCAUAUUAAUCCAUUUUUAAAGUUUAAAAUACUUAAUAGUCAAUUAAUCAUGUGCUAAUGACUCAUCUCGUUUUACGUAUCUUUCCCAUCUCUUCUAUCUCCUCUCCUCAAAGCCUUAGAGCAGUUCGCUAAUUCCUAUCCUAUGUAGUUUUUUCGUCUCGUGAAACGAUCCAUGUAGUACAGCUGUCUUGUGAAACGAUCCGUGUAGCUGUACAAGUAAAAUUGCUGACAAUAAAAAUCGAGCACACGAUAAUACCACCAACAAAGGCUGCCCAAGUUCUCGAGCUUCUCGUGCCUCUUCGAGUCGUCGGGAUGGCAACGAAAGCACCUCUAACUUGAGAUCGCAGAUGUGAUUUAGUUGCUGGUGCUAGGGUGGUGAAAAAACAGUAUCUUAUUUUAACUCCACCUCUCCACACGAAAAAAUGUUACCCAUUAGUGCGUGAUUAAUUAAAUAUUAAAAAAACUUAAAAAAUUAUUAAUAUAAAUUUUUAAAAUAACUUUCCUAUAGAAUUUUUUUAAAAAAAUAAAAUGUUUAGCAGUUUGAGAAACAUACGUGUGGAAAACGAGUAGAAGUUGGGAAAGUGAGGGAAAAAACACAACCACGCUAUACAAUGACAUUUUUGUGAUUAAUGGAAUAAUAACUCCUUCCUCUACAUCGUGGGAUGCGCUCGAAUCAUACGAGAGAGAGAGCGCGCGCACGUAACAGUAUAACCCUUACAUUUCUCCCUACUCUUUCAACUGUCUGAUGAAUCCUGAUAGUAUUAAGUGUAGCAAUUUCUUCUUGGUGGAUCCUGACAAUUAACCAAAAAGGAAAAAAAAAUCAGUACUUAGAUUGUACAGAUAGGCAUACAACAUAAACUAAAGUUGAUACAGUCCUUUCCCGCAAAAGAAGUUGAUAAUAGUCCUGUCCAUACCGAUAUUUUCGGGUUUUUUUUUUACUUAUUUUCUCCUCGAAUUGUUGGGCUAGUUUGCAAAAAAAAAGUACUUAGAUUGUUGGGCUAGUUUGAAAAAAAAUCCUCGUAUAUAUUCAAAACCUUUCAUAGUUGUGUUUAUUUUUCGAAAAAAACCUUGUCUAUAAUGCGAAGAGAAAAUCUCAUUUCUAGUCUAGAAAUAACGCAAUAAACACGAAAAGUAUAUAAAAUUUUCCGCAAAACAACCAUCGUUGGAGAUAUAGGGUCUGUGGUCGUGUUGUAGAUGACAUCAAUAGUGUCCCACACACGCAGCGGCGGUGUAGCCAUAGCUGCCUGCCUAUCGAUCAGGUCCAUAUUUGUGUUUCUGUUGAAAAGUUUGAGAAAAUAAGGUUAAAUAAGUUAGCACGGUCACGUUACCUUCAUAAAAUAGGUCCAGCAGACCAGCUUUUCGUUUUUUAAAAAGAGGAGCAAGUGAGCUACAACUCGAAGAGGCAUCUAAUUCAAAAUAGGGUCGAAAGCGUAGUGCAAGAAAAAAAAAAGUUUGAAUUAGGUACCUACUUGCGCCCUGCGAAACCUCCAGAGACGUAAAGUUAACGCAAACGUUUGAACAGGCUGACCACAGGAUUAAAAUCGAACGGUCAAUACUGCCACGUAACAGCAACCAUCAGACAAAGAUCGGACGGCUAGGAAGGAACCCUAGCACCCGUGGCUGCCUAUAUAAGAAGCAAUCCUCUCGCCCCAACCCCUCCCUUCUCCCGUCUCAUCCCAGCCGCCGCCGCCGCAGCCUCCUCCUCUCGUCUUCUCCUUCGAGGUCAGCUUCAGAUCUUCUCUCUUCUCCAUAUUUGCGCUUGUUCAUGUUCGUUCGUAGCUGCAGAUCUGGUUUAGUAACGUGAGGUUUCGGUGAUUUCGAGCUGGGGCAUGUUGUGUUCGCCCAUUUUUUGUAACUUUUUUCUGUGUAUUCAUCUCACUGCAAUGAUCUUCGUCUGCUGUUCGUUGACGCGACGAUAAACUUGAUUUGUCAGUGAAUCAUCUGCAUAGGUUGAAAAUUAUCGGCAGAAUCGGACGAUGAACUUGAUUUGGUGCAGAAUCAUUUACAUAAGUUGAAAAUUAUCGGUGGAAUCACUAGAAGGAUUUUUAUCUACAAUCCGUUCGCAUAGAUCUCUUUCCGUGUUUCUGUAAUUUUUUUUAUUCUACUACUGCUGAGUAGAUGUUAUCGUCUGUACCCGGUUUGGUUGGGUCGAUUACUGCGCCUCUGUGCAAAUCAUCCGCCGAUUAGCUGCGUUAGCACUUUUAUAGCUGCCCAAGUUUGAUCUGUGAGCUUGCCUGCUAUAUUUAUUUAGAGUUGUAAAUUAUACACUUAUCUUUGUUUCUAAUAUUUGUUUCGUUCUGUGCUGCAGUUGUUAGCUCCCUCCUUAUUCAACCAUGGGUAAGGAGAAGACGCACAUCAACAUUGUGGUCAUUGGCCACGUCGACUCCGGCAAGUCGACCACCACGGGCCAUCUGAUCUACAAGCUUGGAGGUAUCGACAAGCGUGUGAUCGAGAGGUUCGAGAAGGAAGCCGCUGAGAUGAACAAGAGGUCCUUCAAGUACGCGUGGGUGCUCGACAAGCUCAAGGCCGAGCGUGAGAGAGGUAUCACCAUUGAUAUCGCCCUGUGGAAGUUCGAGACCACCAAGUACUACUGCACGGUCAUCGAUGCCCCUGGUCACCGUGACUUCAUCAAGAACAUGAUCACGGGUACCUCCCAGGCUGACUGUGCCGUGCUCAUCAUUGACUCCACCACUGGUGGUUUUGAGGCUGGUAUCUCCAAGGAUGGCCAGACCCGUGAGCACGCUCUUCUUGCUUUCACUCUUGGAGUGAAGCAGAUGAUCUGCUGCUGCAACAAGGUAUAUCUCUAGUGUUCGGUCUUUUGUUAUGAUUGUUGAGCCUAGCACUUGUUUGUACAUAUUCGUGAUGCUAUUCUAGAUACAAUGAAGUCGCAUAAUCUGUUUUAUUCACUAUGCAUCUAAUACUUCAAUGUUUGAUUCUUGCAUAUCUGUCUUCUUUUAUGAUUGAUCUGCACAGCACUUCUGUACAUAUUCGUGAUGCUUGUCCUGAAUACUCUUGAUUACAUCAAUGAAGUAGCUUUCAUUUGAACGUCUAGUUGUUUGUUACUUUAUACUAAGCAUCUAUUUGAUUGGUUUAGGUUAUAUUUUAAAUUAUCUGGUUGUGGUGUUGUACUUCAUUUUGUCAUUUUUAUCCUGCUGGAAGUUGCAGCCCCUGUCCUGUUUCAUUACAUCUUAUCUGGUCACUGUGUAUCUUAUAUGCUGUUAAGUACCUUUUGAUACUCCUACAUCUGGUCCCUGCUCUUGUAUAUCUUAUAUGCUGUUUUAAGUAUUGUUUCAUAUGAUCAUAUCUUGUAUGGUUAUCUUUGUUUGGUUGCCAACUGACCCCCUGCUGAGGAAAGUUAUUGUUUUCCUUUGUUCUGUUACAGAUGGAUGCCACCACUCCCAAGUACUCCAAGGCCCGUUAUGAUGAAAUCGUGAAGGAAGUCUCAUCCUACCUGAAGAAGGUCGGCUACAACCCUGACAAGAUUCCCUUUGUUCCCAUCUCUGGGUUUGAGGGUGACAACAUGAUUGAGAGGUCCACCAACCUUGACUGGUACAAGGGCCCCACCUUGCUUGAGGCUCUUGACCAGAUCAACGAGCCCAAGAGGCCAUCAGACAAGCCCCUACGUCUUCCCCUUCAGGACGUGUACAAGAUCGGCGGUAUUGGUACCGUGCCUGUGGGUCGUGUUGAGACUGGUGUCCUCAAGCCUGGUAUGGUGGUGACCUUUGGUCCCAGCGGUCUGACCACUGAGGUCAAGUCGGUUGAGAUGCACCACGAGGCUCUCCAGGAGGCUCUUCCUGGUGACAACGUUGGGUUCAACGUGAAGAACGUUGCCGUGAAGGAUCUGAAGCGUGGGUACGUGGCCUCUAACUCCAAGGAUGACCCUGCCAAGGAGGCUGCCAGCUUCACCUCCCAGGUGAUCAUCAUGAACCACCCUGGGCAGAUCGGCAAUGGCUACGCCCCAGUGCUGGACUGCCACACCUCACACAUUGCCGUCAAGUUUGCUGAGCUGGUGACCAAGAUCGACAGACGAUCCGGCAAGGAGCUGGAGAAGGAGCCCAAGUUCCUCAAGAACGGUGAUGCUGGUAUGGUUAAGAUGAUUCCCACCAAGCCCAUGGUUGUGGAGACCUUCUCUGAGUACCCUCCUCUUGGUCGUUUUGCCGUGCGUGACAUGAGGCAAACGGUGGCUGUUGGCGUCAUCAAGAACGUGGAGAAGAAGGACCCAACCGGUGCCAAGGUGACCAAGGCUGCCGCCAAGAAGAAAUGAGCAUCGUUGAAGUGGUGGUUAUGCUGGCUGCAUUUGAGAUAUCUUAGCGUUCGUUAAGUUUUGCCCACGGCCAUGGCACUCGUUGCAUGGACCGUUAAUAUCUGCUCGCAAUGUGCACUAUGUUAGUCGUUUAAAACUCGUUUAUUUCUAUUCGGUUAAAAACUUGGAUGCUCUGAGUCUUAUUGUUGCCCUUCGGUUGUUGUGGAAUGCGAGUACUUACAGUGCUAAAUCCUUUGCUCUUUAUUUUCGAUUGUGCUAUUUGGUGAAAACUGAAAGCUCUUUUGCUUGGUGAAAUCUGAAAACUCUUGGUACUUUUGAAAUCUUUAACUUGGUAUUUCAAUUGUAGAGAUUGAAAACUGAUACCUAAUGCUACCCAACGGUGUUUAAUUGAAGCUCUUUUUGUUCCAAAUUUUGUGCUGAUUGGAACAUUAUUUAGGCAUAUGACUGGAUUUCGCUUAAAUAUGAACUGACUGUUAGUAGUCUUUAUCAGAUACAUCGAGUACACUCGUGUCGGAUAGCAGCUAUGUAAACUGUACCAUCGUUGCUCUAAUAACUUUUCAAUGAAAAAAAAUCAAGCUCUAAUAACUUUUAGUCCCCCAUGAUAAUGUUUUGGGGCCGUGGCAAUACAACACUUGGGUGAUUUAGGCUGUAUGCUAUAUGAACAGUUGACAAAAGGCUAACUUGCUUAAAAUCUAUACGUAUGGACGCUUGCGCCGGAGUUGAUGGUCACUCUAUGAUCCUGUACAUGUGUGCGAUCUCAAAGCAGUUCGCCAAUUCCAUCCUACGGAUGCGGCGAUAUGCAAACUGGACCAAAUUUGAUGCGGUCUGCGAGCAAAUUUAAUUCAGCCUGGAGUUCAGAUCUUCCCGUUGUUUUUCCGUACUCUGAAAUGAUCCAUGUAGUUGUAGAAGUAAAGAAUUGCUGACAACAAAAAUCGAGCUCAGGGCCAUCAAUCCCCCUACAUGAUACCAUCAACAAAGACAAUAUUAAAGCUCAUAAUUUUAAGAUAAUGGUGGGAUGCAAACAAACCAUACGGAUACUGAAAUGGUGGAGAUGCAUACAAUAGCGGUAUAUUGUACCUGAUAGAGAUGGUGUCAUGGCGAAAUCAAAUUGAGGCAGCAACACCCCGGCGGCAAUAGGGAUAGCUACUAUGUUAUAUGCGACAGCCCAGGCUAAAUUUUGGUGAACUUUGGCCAUAGUUGCUUUCGAAAGUGAUAAAGCAUCCAUUACCUAAGCCGUAGGGUGGUUCUUGUUUAUUAGCACGAAUGCCACUUGAACUAUGCAGUUACAAUAUCAUAGAGAACAGAAUCCUACCUGAGAAAGUCUGUUUCCUAAUAGAACAACUGAAGCCGCGUCAGAGGCAGCACUCUCUUUUGAGUUUGUUCGCAUAGCUACUCCCACAUCAGCAGCUGCUAAAGAUGGUGCAUCAUUUAUUCCAUCCCCAACCUAUGCAACAGCAAAUUCCACUAAGACAAUAAUACAGAGUAGUUUCAUCCAAUCUAAAACUUUGAGUUAGUCAAACUUUAAUUUUUGUUUACUAUGCUCAACAUUUAAACACUCUCCGAAAGUCAGGACGCGGAAUAAUUUUAGUGCAGGCAAUUUCAGUAUGCCAUAGACUAGCAACAACUGUACGUGCUGUCAAUAAUAGAUAAAAGCACAUCACAGAGCAUUACCAUUGCAACCCGACGUCCCUCUCCUUGCAAUGCAGUUAUAAUGCCUGCCUUUUCAUGUGGAGUUAAGGAUGACUUUAUGUUUUCACUUCUGAUCCCUACAGUUCUCCCAAUGCUUUCAACUGCUUCUUUCCUGUCUCCUGAUAGUAGAAAUGUCAAGAUUUCUUCCUGCUGGAGCCUGUUAAUUAAUCAGAAAGGGAAAAUACAGUAUUUAAAUUAUACAGACAACAUAAUUAGUAAUAGAUGAACAUUUGCAUAAAAAUAGGAAAAAAAAAACAUUUGCAAUAUGCGAGAUUUUAGGAUGCAACAUCUUUUUUUUUGUGGAUAUCACUCAAAAGGGUUGCAUGUCAUAUAGAGAGUAGAUGCAGCAUUCAUAGCAAAUGUCCAAAAGUAUAAGAGAAAACUAUGAAUUCUGAAUAUGUCCCGUUAGGAAGAUAUGUUUGACUGAAUUAUGAUAAAGCAGGAGACACUCGAUAAAUAUACAGACAGAUGGUAUCUGCAGUAAAUACCUGUCCACGGUUGCUUUGGCAUCAUCACGCAGAACAUCUGAUACAGCGAUAGCACCUAUUAUUCCUUCUCCCUCACGGCCAACAUAAGCAAUUGAUUUUGAGUGAUUAGAUGAUGCCUCACUGGAAGACACAAACUCUAGAUGAUUUCCGAGAUCUGUCAGUUCAGUUGACGAUGCCUUGGUCUCAAAUCGAUUGUGGACCCAGUCCAAAGUGCCUACUGCAACCAAGCACCCAUCUACUUCUGCCAAACAGCCAAAACCAGGCUCUGUAAGUUGACCACUUGUGGCUGGGAUAUCUAGUUUGAGAAGUUCGGCCUCCUCCAUUAUAGCAUUUGCGAUAGGAUGCAAUGCUGUUUUCUCCACUGCAGCGGCGAGACGAAGAAUCUCCGCCUCCUCAUAUGCUAAAGAAGCUAUAGAAGUAACUACUGGUCUUCCCUUUGUUAGCGUCCCUGUCUAAGAAUCACAAUACAAAUACCAACUGUAACACAAUACUUAAUUUUGAGGAGACUAGUUUAGCAUGAAAAAUUAAAUGAUGUAUGUAGUGUGUACCUUAUCAAGUACAAUGGCAUCUAUUCCAGCUAAACGCUCCAAAACAUCACCCCCUCUAAUAAGUAGUCCCCGUUUAGCACCUAGUUUAAGAUAAAAGGUAGUUCCAUGAGGGUUAGCAGCUCAUAAAAAGCAAAGAUCAGAGAAGGAUCGCAACAAAGUAGCACAGUCAAUAUGCUGAAUUGACUUUAGUAAUGCAAGGGCCUCUUUAUCGUAUUUAUGAUGUAUGAGCAUCUCCGACCCCAUUGUAUCAGCCAAAUAUCAGGAACAAACGAACCCAAACAUUAUGACAUAGAAAGUUACCCAGUGAAGUUCCUAUCAAAAUAGCUGUAGGGGUAGCUAAUCCGAGUGCACAAGGACAGGAAACAACCUGCAGGGUGAACAUUAUGAGAUCAGCCCAAAAAUCAUAAAUGCAGGCAUAUGCAAAUAGUGCCCUUCAUAGCCCACAACUUUUCAACCACCACCGUCCAUCGAACAGGUAUCGUAUUGAGAAUUCAAGAUGUUUGGCAUGUACAUCAAUCAUGUAGGAUUUCAAUGAUGAUUAGUUAGUUUGUGCACUGUGACCUGACUUUGUAAAAUUAGUCUAUUUGAUAACAUUUUUUUAACAAUAGUUUUCAGAUCAUUAGAGUGAAACACUGAGCUUUCAGAAAACAGUACCAGGACUACUUACAAGUACAUCCACAGCGAGCUUCAAGCUCAAUAGUAAUGAAUCCCCGUCUGGACCAGAAAUAUCAUUUAGAAGGACCUCUGGAAAGAUGUGGGUGCCAAUGUAAUACCUUGGAAUAGAGAAGGUUGCCGAAGCAACGUUAAUGUAGCCCCAGUAAAUUUCAUGUGUAUUCUUUUUGGAAGGGAAAAACAACAACAAAAAGGAGAAUGGGAGCAUACCAGAAAGAAAAUGUUGCUGCAGACAAUGUCAUAACAGUAUAAACAAAUGGCCCUGCAAUUGAAUCUGCAAGCCUUUGAACGGGAGCUUCACGUGCUUGUGCAUCCUCAACCUGUUCAAGAACAAUACAAGUAUUAUAAAAACUUCUUUUGGUCGAGAAAAAAAAACUUCUUUUAGUUUCUUUGUUAUCAAGAGAAAAGAGUAUACCUACCAUUCGGACAAUCUUAGCAAUUGUUGAUGAUGGUCCAGUAGUUGUCGCUUUGAUCUUUAAAGGACCAUCCUUCAACAAGUCAAAUAAUUAAUUGUUAAUAAGUUGAACAAAGAAUUCUCACAUGAGCCUGUGUACUUUAUGAGAGAGAGGGGCAGGGAGUUAAAAUUAAACAAGCGUAAAAUGGACAAUCUAAUAAUUUCACUGAAACAUGUUUAGUUCUUUUGCUUUGUACUAAAAGCAGGGCCUUGUGCCUCUUAUCUAACUGAAGCAUGUUUAGUUAAAAAUAGCUUCGUCAAUCAAUCAAAGCAUGGAAAAGAGAGUGAAUAGCCUAUUAUUUUUUUGGUCAACUCACAAUAGCUUUUGCAUUGGCAACAUGACCAUGGAUGAAAAAUAUACAUAUGACAAAGAGAUCAGCAUUUUAACUAAGAAUACAGUUUUUGAAAUGAAAGUAAAGCUUAAGAGCUGACACAAGCUAAUGGAAUUAUAGAAUGUGGAGUAAGAAUUCCAGGCAGAAAAGUAUGCACAUACCCAGUUUACAGUUCCAGCAAAUACAGGAAACCCUUUUUCCUUGGGGACUGGCAACGAUUCCCCAGUAAGCAUUGAUUCGUCAACAAAACUUGAUCCUCCAAGGACAUUUCCCUAACAGAAGAUAUGUCAAAUAAUUACGUGCAAGAACAAACUGAUGUAGUAAGAAAAUGCAACAGAAGAAAGACAAGUGUGUCCAACCAUCAGUGAACUAGAGCAGCCUUCUAGCAUUUUCACCUCUACAAAUAAAUCAUGAUAUGAACCUUAAAGGGUAUAGUACUAUAAAAAUACAUGAUCAAAACCAUGAGUGGACAUACAAAUUUUACAAAUAACAGAGGAUAUCCAAGUUUGAGAAAGAGAGAGAGAGUAAGCAAUCUAUGGUGCAUUCAUUGAAGACAGAUAGGCAUUGCUGAUAAAUUGUCUAAAAAUAACUAAUAAAGAAGAGGGAAAAGGAGAUAUAUUCAAAUGAUCUGAGCACACGCAAUUCAUUUGUAAGAUUACUUCACUAUAUGAAAUUAAUAGUAACAAAAAAGGGGUCAGUCAAACUUAGGAUUUAUGCAUAUUCAAAGAAAGUACUAUAACAUAAAACCAGUGUGGCUCCUUACAUCUACAGGGAUUGUUUCUCCUGGAAGGACCAAUAUGAAGUCUCCAACACGAACAUCAUCAACAGGAACCUCAACAGUGAUUGCAUCUGAAUUCAAAACACCAUCUGAGGAUGGAUCGUCACUUGAGGAAGUAACGACCAAUCUUGACUGAGGUGAUAAGAGUGACUGCAACAGAAUAAGGCAUAAGUAGUUGCCACUUGCCAACAAAUUCAGUCUUAUAAUGAAGAACAUGCAGAACUGCAGAUAAAUUACUUCACUACCAUCAACUACCACUGCAAAGUUUCUCCAAUAGUGUUUGAGGGAAUACAUAUUUACUUACUUUUAUUCUACAAAUGAAAAAUAAGUGUCUCUGUAAAGGAAUAAGGUGUAUACUUACAACGAGCUCAUUCAUAUCGCUAGAAGCCUUAAGCCUGGCACUUUCUUCAAGAGAUCGUCCAAGAAGCACAAAUCCGAGAAGCAUGACCUGCAUGCUACAAGAAAAGUUUCUUCAACAUUAUUAUGCAAAACAUAUUCAACUGUUAAUUCAUCAAUCACCAAAUCAGUUCAAGUAAUGCGGUAGGAAGUAAUUAGGUUUAUAUUUGAACAAUUCAACAACACAACGGGAUGCCAUAUUAACAAUACACCACAACAUAGACAAAAGGCAGACAACAUUGACAAACGACAGGAGUGUCAACAAGAAGAUGAAACGUGCGUGCAUGGAAGAUCACUCACCGGUUCAUCAAAAAAGGUUGAAUUCCAUUCCAGUUCAGGGUUCAGCAAGGACACCUGCAUAAAAGAAAAGCUGCAUCAGUAUUCUUGUAUGACUGACAGACGAUUUGGGCACUGCAAAUGCACUUACUGAACUGAUAGCAAAUGCCGCUGCAGAUCCAAACCCUACAAGAGAGUUCAUGUUGGGGGAUCCUUGCUUGAAUGCUCGAAGACCAUCAAAAAGUAUAUCUGGUGUUACAUUGAACACAUUUUGAGAAAAGGAUAAAAAGCCUGAAGAUACACAUUGCACGGUCAUGCUGAAAAUGUUCCAGAGUAAUGUACAACACAUCUAGUUCUUCAUAUCAUCUGCCAUUCUGUUGUUUCUUAGGAGGCUUUAAGAAUAUGUCUCCUUUACUACCCACCCAGGCACCCACCAACCCAAACAAAAGCCCGUGAAUCGAAGUGAUGAAGUAUUUUUCAGGGCAAACAAUAAGGAAAUCCUUGUUGUGUACAUACAUUAGAAAUAUAUAAAAAAACAAAGGAGUGUUUACCAGAGAAGGAAUGUGCAAUCUCCCCCAUCAAGUAAGGCUACCAAAUUUUAUCUAGCCAUGACUGCCAUCUCAGAGAAUUCAAUGAUCAUAUCAAGGAUGACUACAUGUAAUGGUAUGAGUUUUCAGCAUCUCGUGUCAGACAACCUAGUGACCUGCUUGCUGCUAUUGAGUUGUCUAUUUUUCAUUGUUUAGAGAAUUAUAUUGUUCUUAGGAACUAAGUUAAUUUGGUCAAGUUAUUGCUAGUCCCUAUCUGGUUUGAUACCCAAAAAACUGUGUAGAAGCCUAUACAAAAAAAAAACAGUACAUUACUAUACUAUACCUCUUCCAGGCCCAAACAAUGCCGCUAUUGCAAUGCCACAUUUCACAUACGAAUUAUGCAACAGAUCCAAAAACGUUCCUGCACCAUGCAUAAACCGAUCAGAUAGUGAUCCUAGUGGAAAAACAGUUCAAUAUAGCAUGUGCAUCAGUGGCCAAUUUAGACUUUCACUAAACUUCAUUCAUGUCCAUUCAUCUAUUGCACAAACGCCACACAACCUGUGAUCACGCUCCCGUGGUUUGAACUCACCAUGGCCGACGUGGAUGCCGAGCGAGUGUAGGAAAUGGGUUGCGUGCGAGCCGCAGCAGAGCGCAACGAGCGUCCACGCGAAGGCGACGCGCCCACGGCUCCGCGUGAGGAGCUCCGCCUUCCUGGCCGCCAUCUCCCUCCACUUCCGAGCGCUGUCGCUAGCCCCCGAGGCCGCGCCCCCUCGCCGCGCCACCGAGGGGAACCCGCACUCCGUCAGCCUCGCCGCCAGCUCCUUCCCGGCGGCCGGCUCCGGCGACCUCAGCCGCACGGCCGCCGACUCCGCGAGGAGGUUGACCGCCGCGGUCUCCACCCGCUCGUCCGCGGCCAGGAUGGUCCGCACCCGCGCCGCGCAGCCACCGCACAUCAUGCCGCUCACGUCGAGCAGCACGGUGGCAGCAUCACUGGCCCCCUCUCCUUCUCCCGCCGCCGCGGCCGCGUCGACCGCGCUCGAGGCCGAGGCGGAGGGAUCGGCCGUGGAGCGGGGGGUGGCCACCGCUGGGCCGCGGGGGAGGACGACGAGGCAGAAUCGCUGCGCAGUCGAGGCCUUACCACAACCGCCACCUCGACCCAACCGGAGACGCCGGAGCAACAGGGGGUUAACGCCGCGAACCGGAGCGGUGACAUGGAGGGGGGAACGGCUAGCGGUGGCGGCCAUGGAGGCGGUCGCCCGCGAGCGCGGUGGGGAAGCAGCUAGCGGAGAAGGAUUAAGCUUAGGUGCGGAGGAGGGAGGAGGCGGCCAUGGAACGCGCCGGACGAGGAGUGGUGGGUGGUGGACUGGUGGUGGUGGGAAAUGCAGUGCAGGGGAGGAGAGGGGAAAAUGUGGUGGUGGUGGAGGAGGAAAACGGGGGAGAUGGCGACGUGUGCGAGGGAUGAGGAGGAAAACGGGAGUAAUCUUUGCGAGUCGGAUGGAUUUGGAUAGCAAUCUGUCGAGACGUUUGGAGGUUUUCGUGGUUGAAAACGUGGUGGGCGUGACGCACGAUGCAGAUCCACAAAGUUUCAAACUCCCAUGUGGCUUUGCACCGUAUCGCUCGCAAUGUGCCGGUGAAACUCCCGUUUAUUUUGAUGUAAAAGUAAGUUUGCGGCUUACCCAAGUACCGGUGUGUCCGUGCGUAGGAGCAUCGUGCGUCGGUGCGUGUCAUGUUGCUCGAUCGCGAUAAGCAACGGAAGCUGCAUUCUCGGGGUAGACAAUAUAUUGUCACGAAUCACAUACUCCGUAUGCUCGUAUUUCAUCGAUAACUCAGUAACUCACAAUAUAGCCUUGUCAGUGUCUAACUGACCAUAAGCAUUGUCAGUUGUCACCUUGAUCAUUCAACUGGAUUUUCGUAUGAGAUGUUUGCGUUGUAAUAACACCUCUUUAAAGAACAUGUAGCUUAUUUUUUAAAAAAAUCGUACAUCGUUUUGAUCUAUUUACGAGCGCAUAUCAUAUCUACUUUUUUUUUAUUUGAGACACAACUAAAUGGUCGUGGACUCGUGGGCUUGUGGCUCAUCAGAUACCUCCUUUCUUUAAUAAAUAACACCAUUGACUUUUUAUCACACGUUUGACUAUUUGACUUAUUAAAAAAAUUAUCUAAUUUUAACUUAUUUUGUUGUGAGUUGUUUUAUCACUCAAAAUACUUCCAACAUGAUUUAUAUCUUACACAUUUUGUAUAAUUGUUUUAAAUAAGAUGAAUGAUUAAACAUAUUUUUAAAAGUCAACGGCGUCAUCUAUUUAAAAAAUAAAGGGAGUAAUUGGUGCCCACUAAUAAUUAUUACAAACUACUUCUCCGUCAAAAAAAUCCUAAAUAUGUAUAUGGACAACAUUUAUAUCCAGAUACAUCUCAAUUGGACUUUUUUUUUAACUGUGGGAGUAAAACUUAAGAUACAAAUACGACGCAUUAUCAUCCACUAACAAUUACUCAUGCAAGCAUAACUAAUCAUCUAAAAUAUGAUAUUGUAAAGCUCAAUAUACAAGUAUAUCAAAUCAUAUUCCUCACAUUGUUUUCAUAAAUACUCCAACAUUCAUUAUUUCUAUAGUAUGCAACAUAUAUCAUAUCUUACUAUAAAGUUAUCCCCCACUAAUUUAUUAAGCUUAACAUGCAAAGAUGCUACAUCAUCAUCCACUAAACAAGAUGUCACAUCAUCAUCCACUAAUUAACAAUAUGUCACAUCAUCAUCCACUAACAAUUAUCACAUUUAAACAUCAUGCAAACAUGCUAUAUAUUUAUAGUUUUUAUAAUUUAAGAGCUUUUUAAAUACAAACAUGUUAAAUUAUCAUCCAACAUAAUUCAUAUAAUGUUUCAAUGUAUAUAUUUAUUAUGUUUUAUGAUAUCCUAUAUAUUUAUAUAGUUCAUCCUCACUUAGUUAGUGCUUAAAUGAUUAAACUAUGGUCCAAAUUAUCUUUCUCCUUUUUUCCUCUAAUUAAUUUAUAUCACAUCAAUUGUUUUUAGCAUUUAGAUUAUUAAUCUACGGUCCAAACUAUCUCCCUUCUUUUCUUCUUCUAUAAAGUCAUACCACCUUACUUUUUACGUUUGAAUCACCAUUCUACAUACUAUUUAAAUUUAAAUUAUCAUAAACCACAUUAAUUUACUUAAUCUGUUGUUAUCCAGCUAUCUUACACGUUAUUUUUUAUUUCUAUCAUAAUAAAUUCCCACAGCAAUACGUGGGGUUUCACCUAGUUUACUCAUACAAUUUGUAACAAAACGUGGGUAUCACCUAGUAAUGCUCGUUGGCUAAAACUCCAAUAUUAGAGGGUGUGGAUAGUGAUUGAGUGGGAUUUAGGUCCUCUCACUACCGCAAUAAAUGCUAGUGCAAUCUUUCGUAGCUACAACACUCGCUAUUGGAUUUUGAGGCAAAUUUCACUUGGUGCUCUUGCCAUAUCAAUUGAUAUGAUGCAUACAUCACAAAUCCUAGGUGUAUAGUGUCUCUAAUGGUGUUACGGCAGAGGAUCUCAUUUCACUUCGAUAGAUCUCCGCCUCCUAUUAAGUAGUUCUUCUAUUAAUGUCAUCGCUAAUAUAAUGUUCUAAGUGGCUCCUUUGACAAGCAAUGUCGUUUUAUCCUUUACAUAUAACCGAUGGUAAAAUAAUUUCAAAUUUAAUCAAAUUUUUACAGCAGAAAUAGACAAUUAGGAAGUCAUUUGAGCUUGUCUUUAAGUCAAACUUCUCUAAACUUAACUAAGUAAAUAGACGCAACAACAUCUACAAUAUAUGUUCUACAAUAUACUUAUUUUGUUUUGAAAAUGUUACUAAGUUUUUAUUUAAUUUAAUCAAAUUAAAAAAAUGACUUGGAGUAACAAAAUGAGCAUUUCCAACACAAAAGUAGUACUAGUUCAGAAAUACUAGAACGUACCAGGGGCAAACUCCAAAACCUCCCAUCCGAUCACCUCCGUCCCGAACGUUAUCUCUAACCCCUUCGUUUCCCACCCACCACCUCUCUCCGGCGUGCUCGCUCGCACACAGUCCCCAAUGGCCUCCCGGAACGCCGACCCGCCGCGUCACCACCCCUCGACGCCGCCUCUCCUCCUCGCCAUGCGCCACCUCCCCUUCCCGGGCGUCCACCGGCCGCGCGCGCUCCCCGCCCCGGACCUCGCGCCCCUCGCCGCCCGCCUCGAAGAGCUCGCUGCCGCCGCGGCCGCGCACCCGCUCCUGAAGCCGCUCUUCGCCUUCCACUCCCACCUCGCCGCCUUCUCCCAGGUAGGUCGACGCCCGCGGCCUCCUUGAGCUCGAUCACACGAACAGACGUGUAUGUGCGAGGGUUGCUCACGACGCGCGGUUGUUGGUGGAAUGAGCAGAGCAGGAGGCGGGCGAUGGCGACGAUGCGCCGGCGGCGGACGACGGGCGAGUGCCCGCUGUCCGGCGAGCACUGCUUCGCGGCGGUGCUGGGUGACUCCGUGGCCGGUGUGGUGGUGUCCAGCGGCAUCAACAACUUCCUCAGCCUGUACAACACCGUCCUCGUCGUCAGGCUCGUGCUCACCUGGUUCCCCAACACGCCGCCCGCCAUCGUCGCGCCCCUCAGGUACAUAGUACUCGUAUGUAUGUAUACAGUAGCUACGCACACGGCGCAACGUAGCACUUUAGUGACAGUGUUUAUGGAGCCAACAAUUAGCCUGGUCUAAUUCAGAAAAGAAACUCAAAAACAUUCUCCCUCCGUUCAUAAUAUAGACAUAUAGUGCAUAUUUUCGUAGUCUAAUUUUAAGCUUAGACAAAUCAUUCAAUCCAAUAAAAAUGAUAAUUCUGAAUUCAUAUCGAAGGUACUUUCUUAUUUUGUAACUGCAAUCAAAAUAGUGCAAAAAAAAAAGUGCAUUGACACAUCUGACUUUGUGCAGCACGAUAUGUGAUCCGUAUCUGAACAUUUUCCGGGGAAUCAUCCCGCCGCUGGGGGGAACGCUCGACCUGUCGCCCAUCCUCGCGUUCCUGGUCCUCAACGCCUUGUCCAGCACCGCCGCCGCGCUCCCGGCCGAGCUCCCGGACCCAGCACCGCCGACGUCUCGCGGCGCAACCUCGUCAAGCUCCGUGCUCACCGCAAACCGGAGGAAAUGGAUGCGGAGAAUCCGCCCGGUAAAAUCGCAGGAAGGAGAGGAGGAAAUGUGAUGCUCUAUCUAGGUGGGACUUCGUUUGAACCAGUUUGGACAGAUGGAAUCGCUGUCUCACUGACAUGGUGGCCAUCAGACUAAGAGUCUGGGCAUGUUCAGACGCGAACGAUCAUCAAUUAAGCAGGCGGAAUUGUUUUGGUUGUGUUGCUUCAGAAGAUUUUUGCUUGUACGCUGUAGAAUCCAUCCCAUUGAGGCUUCGUGUUUUCUGCAUGUAUGCAGAGGAACAACCUGCUUGACUAGUUUGACAUGUUCCAGUCUUUUGGAUGAGUUUGUUACUUUGUUGAUGAAUCGCAUGCUCACUGUUUAUACUACAUCACAGCAGUACACGAAGCAUUUUUAUUCUGUAUGCAUCCAGUGAAUUUGAUUUUGGAGUUGUUAUUAGGCUAUUAACAUCGUACAUCACACUUCAAGCGUGCCCCUCCCCCCCAAAAUUCUUUUCUUGUAUUUUUAAGGGUCAUGGGUUUUCUGCAAAGCUGAAUCAAACCAGUCGACCAUAUGUAUCUAAUGCUCGUUUGAAGGGGAACCUUGAGAUCCAAGCAAGAAGUCCAACACGAUCUUGUUGAACCGAUCCGGGUCCUCCAUUUGAGGCACGUGGCCUGUCUUCUUGAUGAUCUCCAAUCUAACAUGAUCUCCCAAGCAGCUGCAACCGUCAUAAGCACAAGGAAAAAGGUUAAUCUGCAGUUGCAAAUUUUGUAUUGCUGUGAAUUAUUUUACCUCUUGACAGCAAAUGCCUUAUCCAAGGGGAAUAUCUGAUCAUGGUCUCCCCAGAUAAGCAAUACAUCCUGAGCCAAUGGUGUAAGCUGGAAUGCAUCCGUGCCCACAGUUGUAGCAUUCAUAAGCUCGAUCUUCUCUUCCCUCUUGUCCGAAAAAAGUUUCUGCAAAUUGCUGAAAUGCAACAUUAGUGUGUUUGCUAGCAUAACAGUGCACCCAAGCUAUGAAAGAAACUUGUGCUCUGCACAAUGUUCAAAAUAUAAACAUGAGAACACGAGGAAUUCGCUGGAAUUUUGAGUGAUUUAUAUGGAUCCUUCGUCACCUUCAUGAUGUCUCGGAUCACGAAGUCCGGUAGCAUGGCGCCGGCCUGCUUCCGGUAGAAGGUCAGCUCCAUGAGCCGGCGAGCUCCGCGCGCGUCCAGCGGCAUGAGCACGUCGGCCGGGUGCGUCCACCCGCUGCCGGCGCGCUCGAGGAACGCGCCGUCGUCCUCCGCCGUCUUGAGCAAAUCGGAGUUGGAUAUCGCCACGGGGCCGACCCUCUCGGGCCCCGCCUUGCGCGCCAUGGCGUAGGCCACGAACCCGCCGUAGCUGGUGCCGGCCACGGCGACGCGCGCCGCCGUCCCCACGAGCGCCGGGAGCGCGUCGAGCAGCGCGGCGGCCUGCGCCGACUCGGACGGCGGCGGGGAGGAGGAGGAGGAGGAGGCGCCGAAGCAGAGGAGGUCCGGGACGAUGAUGUGGAAGCGGCGGGAGAAGGGGCCCACCUGGCGCCGCCACUGCCACGUCGCCAUGGGGCCAAAGCCGUGGAUGAGGAGGAGCGGCGGGAGGCGCGGCUCCCCCGGCGGCGCCCAGUAGUGGAUGGUCCGGGCCUCACCGUCGCCGGAGGUGGAGGGGAGCGUGACGGUGCUGGGGCGGAGGCCGGCGGCGAGGAAGGCGCGGCGGGCGAUGUACUCCAUCAGCGGGAUGACGCCGAAGCCCAUGGUGACUUACGUGGACGUGAUCAAGUGAUCGAGACGGGGCUCUAGUAGAGAAAUUGGAUAGUAGCAGGUAGUACUAGCUUGGCAUACGCUGAUACGCAACGCCGCCACGGUGAGAUGCAUACAGAGGAGAAGGAAGAGCGGUGGGGUGUAAAUGUAAUGACGUAUACCACCCUAACCAGCUCUAUAGCUGCUUCUAUAGAGGGCUGUAUACAUAGGGAGUGGAUUUUAAUCCUGGGUGGGACGUCCCCUCGUAUAUUUUUCUUCUAAAUUUGAUACAAAUAAUUAUAAAAAAAGCCUAUAAAAAUUAAAUGUAGAGUAUAGUUAUAUCUAUUGGUUCAUAAAAAAUUAAGUUCAAAUUCGAUCUACACACCAAGAAACUAAAAAGACAUAUUCAAAUGUGAACAAUAUAUGGUACUAUUCAUAUGUUAAAUUUGUUUUUUUAAUCUCGUUGUGUGAGUUGAGUUUUGAUCUAAGAUUUUGUGGAGUUGAAUAGAGUGUUGUAUAAGUAUUGUUAAAUUUUUCUAGAUUUUUUCAUAACUAUUUGGAUUUUUUUUUUGAUUUUUUUAAGUAAACGAGGGAUAUUCCCUCGAGGGUUCCCCUAUAUAUGCUUAUUUGAUUGAUGUUCACCAGAACUUUUGGUGAUGUGAUAAAUUUAGUCAUUGUUUGGUUUGCUAUUAGAAUCUUGAGGGUGCCAAUCUAUUUGAAGAUAGGAUUUUUGGUAAGCAUGUUGAUAUUUAAAAUCUUCACAUCAAACAAUAAUCCUACCUACUCUUUCAAAGUUUUGAUUUAAUUCAGCAACAGAUACAAACGAGAUGCACCAACAUUACCAAAACUUCACAGAAUUUAGCUUACUGAUAUUAUGGUAAGCUAACCAACAUUUGCCCUGACUCUCCAUUGACUCCAUUCAAUGCUUUAGAUGGCUAAGAAAACAAAUCAACAAUCCACCCAUUUUCUUUAAUUAUUUCUCAAUGUGCGUUCUCAAAUAAUUCGUAGUACAAAUUUUAGCUAUGAAUGGACGAAGGUGGCUAACCAUCUUAUUUCAAUCAAUCAAAUAUUCGAGUGGGCAUCCGACUUAUUGCGAUGCGCCAUUUGACGAAGGAUCAGGCUUGUGAGUAGCCAGCAAGAAGUCUAGCAGGAUCUUGUUGAACCGGGUUGGAUCCUCCAGCUGUGGAGCAUGGCCUGUUUUGCUUAUGAUUUCCACUCUAGCUUUCCCAUCCAAAGAACUGGACAGAGCGAAUUUUGUGCAGGAAACGUCAAUCCGUGUUCAGUUAAAUACUGAAAUGGAAGCUUCGUACUAGUAUGUUACUAUCCAUUACCUCUGAACUGCAUAAGCCUUCUCAACCGGGAACAACUGAUCUUGCUCUCCCCAGACAAUCAACACUUCCUACAAUGCCAAUGAAACAUGAAAGGUUUCAGCUACGGUAAGUGUCAGUGAAUUCACUGGUUGAAAUACUGUAAUAAGUCUGUCACUUACCUGAGAUAUUGGAGUUACUGGGAACUUGUCUGUGCCAACUGUGAUCCCCUUGAAGAGUUGAAUAAGUUGCUCUCUGUUCUCCGUGAAAAGUUUCUGAUAUAGUAGAAGAUAACAAAACCAUCUAUUUCAGAGGACAGUGGCGUUUGGCUACUUCUGUGAGUAAUCUGAAGUUCUGAAUGAUAUACUACCAAUCUCAACAAACAUGAGCUGUGUAAACUGUAGCACCCGCUAAAAGUAGUUGGGUAUUAUUGCAGUGUGCAUGGCUUUGCCUCUUGCAAAUGGAUGCUAGAUUCAUUACUUAGCUGUGAGUUGUCGUCAUUUGUUUAGAUGCCAGUGCAAGUUCAAAACCAACAUUUUUUUUACGAGAACCGAAUAUAUUACUGUGACGAUCCAGCCAAAUCGCUGGUCACCAGACGUUCCAGGCCCAGGCGGAAUAUCGGCCCAGCUGGAAAUGUUUUGGAGAUUGCAUCCCAUGGCUGCCAAUUCAUGCGGCACCUUGUUACAUUCCCGAGGACAGAAAUUAACCGAAAAAGAGAGAAAACAACUGGAAAUUACAUUUUUGGCUUACUACUGAGAACAGAAAAAAAAAGCAACUGCGUAUUUCGAUCAACAGUUGCAUAUUUUGAUUCAUGCAUUUCAACCGUCAGAUGGAAAUGACAGGAUAUAUAAUCUUCUACUAUGCUUAUUUGGUACUCCCUCCAUCUCAUAAUAUAAUAAGUUUUAGAGUUGAGCGUGGUUAUAUUAAGAAAGUAGAUAGAAGUAAGUGGUGGAGGGUUGUGAUUGGAUGAGUAGUGGAGGUAGGUGGGAAAAGUAAAUGGUGGAGGGUUGUGAUUGGUUAAGAAGAGAAUGUUGGUGUAAAAGUUAUUAUAUUUUGGGACGGAGGGAGUACUACUAAGAGCAAGGUCAAUAGUAUAGCCAACUAUUAGCUCCAAAACAUCUAUAGCCAAUCUAAUAGAUCAUUCAUACAAUAGUUAAAUAUAAAAAUAUACUACACCAUUAAUAUCUGGUCCCAUCUCUCAUACACACAUAACAUUUUGGAGUCUGUGUUGCAGCCGGCUACAAAUCUGUAGCCCGCUUUCUUCUCUCUCUUCACUUUUCUUCUCGAUAUAUGGUUAUAGCUGGCUUAUAGCCUGCUAUUGUACCUGCUCUAAGAGCAAGUUUAAUAGUAUAGCCCACUACUAGCUCCAUAUCAUUUAUAACUAAUGUAAUAGCCAAUUCAUACAAUAGUUGCUUACUAUACUAUUAAUACCUGGUCCCACCUGUCAUACACACAUUACGUCUUGGAGUCCGUGCUGCAGCUGGCUACAGAUUUGUAGCCCACUGUUCUUCUCUCUCUUACUUUAUCUCUUUAAAAUAUUAUUAUAGCUGGCUUAUAGCCUGCUAUUGUACCUGCUCUAAAUGGUAGGAGUAAUUUACAUGGUUGUUUUCAACAUGAUUUUAGUAAGAUUAUAGAUAUAUUGUUGGUUUAUGUCUCUUUGAAUAUGUGUUGGACGAGUGUGAUUUUGUGCGUGUAAUGUUAUGCGUUCUUGUUCAUCCGGCGUUUAAUUAAAUUAAAAAAAAAACAUGUUUGCUCUCCACUGUCAGUCUUCACAGUUCAGAGCGUAUAUAAAAAUGCGAGCAGCAGUUCCACGGAUCGAACAGGAACAUGAUGCCCUUCUUAUACUUUUUUUUUAAAAGAAAUCCAACUUUAUGCUACGUACGAGCGAUUCGAGACGGCCUAGUUUUUGAAUUGUCAGCGCGAGAAGUAGUGGGAGUGGUUUCAGUUUUGACCUGGAUGAAGUCGCGGAGGAUGAAGUCCGGCAUCAGCACCGGCGGCGGCGGCCGGCACGAGGCCAUCUCCAGCAGCUUCCGCAUCGCGGCGGGCUCGGCCGGCAGGAGCACCUCCUCCACGCCGCUCCACCCGUCGCCGGCCCUCUUCAGGAACCCCCGGUCGUCCGCCGCCGUCUUGAGCAGGUCGGAGCUCGCGAUCACCACGGGGCCAACCCUCCCGGCCCCCGCCGUGCGCGCCAGCCAGUACGCCACGAACCCGCCGUAGCUGGUCCCCGCCACCGCCACCCGCCUCCCCUUCAUCCCCGGCAGCGCGUCCAGCAGCGCCGCCAGCGCCGCCGCCUGCGUAGCCUCCGACGGCGGCGAGGCGGCGGAGUCGCCGCCGAACGAGCUGCCGCCGAAGCCGAUGAGGUCGGGCACGAUGAGGUGGAAAUGCCGGGACAGUGGGCCCACCUGGCAGCGCCACUGCCAGGUGGCCCGUGGGCCGAACCCAUGCACGAGCAGCAGCGGCGGCAGCAGCGGCUCCCCCGUGGAGGCCCAGUAGUGGACGGUGCAGGUCGCCUCGCCGCCGUCGCCCGGGUACGGCAGCGUGACGGCGCCGGGGCUGAGGCCGGCGGCGGCGAACUCCCGGCGCGCGAAGUAGUCGAGGAGCGGCACGAGGCUCAGGCUGGCGCCCAUGGUGGUGAUGGUCUUCUCCCUCCACUGAGCUCUCGCAGUCUCGCUCACGCAGCAGCAGCGCGCCUCGUGUGAUAACGUCUGGUCGAGGAAAAAACGUAAGGCUCACACUUAACACUGGUGGUUGGGCGUGUACCAAACUUAAUCGCGAGUUAAGGAAAGGAAAAUUCCGGUUCGUUAGUUGGUGGUGGGCUUCUUUGAAUGGGAGGCGAUGUUAUUGACGGGGUUAAGGAGAGCCGUCCGUUUGGUGAGGGCGGGCUCCAUGAUGCUGACACGUGUAUAUCGCCAGUGGUGCAUUGUACUAGUACUCCGCUAGUGGAGGUGAGAGAGUAGCGGCCAAGGGAAGAGAUUGCCGCACUGGCCUUCUCAACAAAAGGAGAAAGAUAGUCGUCAAGUGAAGGACAGCAUGAGAUUGCCAUCUGAGCUGCACUGUGCUAAAUAAUACCAAGUGGGCAGUAGCAAGCAGCAACAGAUUAAUUACUUUAUCGACCUGUCAAGAACAUAUGCAUCUGACGAUCUCAGAAUGAUCACAACAAUAAAUUAGCCACUUUAGUGGUACUGCCAUCUGCCUGCAGUUCCAUAGUCAAGAGGAAAAAACAGAGUCCGUGAGCAUCACAUUUUUUUAUUGGGAGAUUUCAUAUUUGACAAUUAAUCAAUAGUUCACGGUAUAUAUUUUUUACAUCCCAAAUAGGGUCAUUACACUAUCGGCAUCUGAGGAUAGAGGGCAAAUCCGGGUUACAGUUGGAUUGGUUUGGGCCUUUCCGAGAGCUCCUGCUUCUAGUACUUCUUAGCAGGGCUCUAGUACUGGGCCACUCCCAACUUCCGGCCCAUUUCACGAGUCCAGGAGGAAAGACUUGAUGAAGCGGUUCACUUGGUCGGCUCCCUCCAACUGCAACGCGUGCCCUGCGUCCUUGAUGAUCUCUAGCCGUGACACGUCUCCCAGAUGCCUGCAGCCACAGCCAUGCGAAGGCACAGUGAUCACUGCUUUUUUUUGCAAUCAAGCGUCCAUCAAUUCUGCAUUAAUGCGGUAUACCGAAGUGGUGAAAUUAGGUACUUGAUGUCCAAUUUUACCUUUGCAGUCUGUGGCCGAGAUCCAACGGGAACACCUGGUCCUUGUCACCCCACAGAAUCAACGUUUUCUGUGGUGCACACCAAAACUUAUUUAGGCUGAGUUUGAGUGGGAGGAGAUUGAGAAGAUUGAGAAGAUACGCAAAACGAGGUGAGCUAUUAGAGCAUGAUUAGUUGAGUAUUAAUUAUUUUAAAUUUUAAAAAUGGAUUAAUAUGAUUUUUUAAAGCAACUUUCGUAUAGAAACUUUUUGCAAAAAACACACCGUUUAGUAGUUCGGGAAACGUGAGCGCGGGAAACGAGACAAACUCACUCACAAUCUCCUCCUGCCGAAAGCUCCCUUAGUUGCUUACAAACAAUAAAAUUAAAUAAAGGGUCCAAGGGAAGAUAUCGAUCGGGCAACAGUACAGAAGAAGAGAGAGAAAGUACAGUGUAGACACGCAUAUGACAGAAUGAAGUAAUGAACAGCAUUACAGCAACAGUACGGGAUGAUGACGCUUUCUGUGUGGACUCCGUUUGAGAUUGAUGACUAGACAAACGAUCAUGGGAUAUCGAUCGAUCAGAUCACCUUUUUUUUUUUGGCCCGGCAAUCAGAUCAUUUGCAUUAGAGUAUUUAUUUUCUUUUGUUGAGUGCUGUGAAAGCAUGGCAUAUGAGAUGCACUUAAAGUACAGUGAUAAGAUGGGUGUGAUUUUAACCCUAAAAUCCUGUGUUCAAUUUUCAAUGUGGUGGGACGUUUCUUUCUCUAAAUCUCGUUUUUAAAAACAUGAUAUAUGUAUGCUAUUUUUUGAAAAAAAAAUUAUCCGGCCUCUAUAACCAUAUUGGCGUAUGUAUGUAUACACAGCCCAUACACUGGAAAUGUGGAUGUGGCAUACCUGAGUGAGAACGGGGAGGGGAUCGAUGCCAGCUCCGUUCUUGAGAAGCUCGUGUAGCAGCUCGGCCCUCUCCUUCCUCUGAACCACGCACAUCAACUGUGCAAAAAAAAAAAAAACAGAGUCAGUACAAAAUUACAUUCUGACAUACUGAAAUGCCAUAUAUCUCCCCGUUUAGAAUCGAGUCCAGUUCGAACUGCAUAUGUCCUGAACUCCUGAUCAAAUGCUCAUCGUUAAGGGAGGGAAGCACACGUGAGUCCCCUAUACUUUUUUUAAUGCAAUCAGUACGAGAUUGUACUAUUUUAUUAAAUAUAGCGGUAGAAAAAUACAACCUCUAAAGAAAGAAAGAAAAAAAAAACUAUACAGACUAUACGUGUGGAGAAAGAAACUCGCUAUUUUUUUUUGCUUCAGCGAGAACCCAAGUUCGUGCUUCUUCCUUCAUUUUAGCCAACAGCCUAGGAACCACUCUUUAUAUUUGAAGAUACGCUGAUUUCUCUCCUUCCAAAUCUCCCAAACAACAAAAAGGAGUAGAGUACGCAUUGAUCUGCUGAUUGGCGACCAACUCGGAAAGGGGCACACGGCUGAUAGAGGUGGGUGCACAUGCAAUUCAUUGCUCGAUCCAAGCGGCGUAUCCCAUGUAGGAUCGAGUUCAUCGCGAAGAUCGUAUCCCUCCAUACCGAGGGACAUUCUAUCGUCCGUGCUAGUUGCUGAUAUGUCCCCUGCAUAUGCUCUGCUCUUGGAGUUACUAUGUGCUACUGUACUUUGCCGUUGUAUACAUUCAGUGCGUGCACCAGCUGGCGUACGCGCGCGGUCGAGAGCUGGUCGUUCUUCGCUUCCCCCACCCCCGACGUUAUUACGCACGGCGGCGCACGGCAUGGCGUCUUCAUCUUAUACCCUUUGACUUGGUCGGAUCCACGUCAAUGGUGUCCAUACAUGGGGUUUUGUUUGUUCUGUUUUGCAAAGUUAAAAUGAGGCAAAGCUUUUUCCCUCCAUUGAAAAAUCAAAGAAAGUUACGAGAAAUGUGAGAUCUUGUGCUACAAGUUCGUGUAGUGCAGAUUGGUGCUGUCGUGUUGCAAGCUUGCAAUAAGAAAAGGUUACGCUUUCACCGUCCUAGACCAGCUCGAAUCACACGCCAAAGUUCGAGGCCAUACUUUAAUUGGAGUGCUUGAUCGGUGUUACAUCCACCAAAAAAAAAACAAAAAAAAACAAAAUACGAGUAAGUGGCAGCUAGUGGAGCAGCAACAUUAUUUUGGGGCUGGCCCUCGCCUAAUUUUCGAGUCGAUUUUGCUAGAUAUUUGUCAUCAAAUUUCUCCCCCUAAUAUUUGUCAGAUGUAAUUACAGUACAAUCGUAGUGUAAUUACACUGUAACUUGCAUGUAAUUACACUGUAACUAUAAUGUAACUUGUAUGUAACUUUCAAGAAUCUCUCGGUAACAUGUUAUUUCAGUAAAAUAGAGGUCGUGGGAACAAAUUCUUUCAUAUAUGUGUGUGAUGUGAUUUUUUUCUUCCUCCAUAGAACAAAUCUUGUAAUAGAUCUAACGAUUCAAAAUUACGUGAAACUUACAUACAAGUUACACUGUAGUUACAUGCAAGUUACAGUGUAAUUACAUACAAGUUAUAUUGUAAUUACACUACGAUUAUACUAUAAUUACAUCUGUCAAAUUUUUAGUAGAAAAUUUGUCGACAAAUGUAUAGGUGGUCCCUUUUCGAGUAGUAUUCCUGAAGACGACACGUGGGCCACGUAAGGGCCCAGCGCCCAUGACAGAAUCCACGAGAUUUGACGUAACGUACGGCAUCACCGCCACGUCAGUCCAGAUCUACCGGAGCACUUUACCUUUACGUGCCCGUGCCACUCUCCUCCAGCACUACACGUGUAGGAGUACUGAAUUGCCGAUCUAUAUUUUACUCUAGUAUUUUUCAAAUUUGCUACUAAAUGCAAAUCCAAAUUAAUCUCUGGUGGUGCCGUAUGGUGCUGUACGAUCUGAUUCUGGAAUUGCUCACAUGCAAAGGAUAGCGUGUUCUACUCUGGCUUAAUUUGGAUGUGUCCACCUGACCAUGCAAUUUAUAUGGCACUGUUAUCAAUUGUUCUCGCUUAAUUCCUGCUACCAUGUUUGGCCUAACUUUAUAUUCAAACUCGUGGAGAUCUCAAUUAGGCUUAUACUUAAAAGUCAAACGCAUAUGUAUAUACAGUACGAUCUAAACGAACACUCCAGUCUAAGCUGGAGUUUCGUAUAUAAACUCUACUAACCUCGCUCGACCGGCAAGAUUGCUCAAAAACCGAUCAAUGUACAUGUUUUUCGUGAGAAAGAAACUUAGGGGGUUCUGCAUCACAAUCCGGCACGUGCACAACACAUGCAUAUACGCCACCGUACAAAGAGUGCAAGUUCCCCGUACUGUUUUUGUACCAAUUAACGAGGUUUUCCUUAAGAGGCUUGUUCCAUUCUAUCAGUAAGUGGAAAUGUUGCAUGUGAAUCUUGCAGGAACAAUUAAAUUGCUCCCCAAUUUUAAAUAUACGUCACUGGUGAUUUUUAAAAACAAGAUGUUUGCCUGUUUCGGAUUAUUAAAAUGGAUUUAGUACAAAUAUAAAAAUACAAGUCAGAUUUUAAGUAUCUUCAUAUCAAUGCAACAUACUCCCUCUGUCCCAUAAAAA